rnacentral:lncRNA from 1 species
GUUGGAGGACGACUGAGCGCCGGGUCAAGUAACGAGGGCCUGUAACCUGAUGUAGGGGCAUUAAAGGUGGACUCGGAUGAAUCUGGCCCAGUGGCUUAAAAGGGAUUGUAUGAGGCUAGUGGGCCCUUACUGGCUUGCCAUUACGCGGUUAGAGGAUGCAUGGCGAUCGCAUAAAGCAAGGUGGCCCAUCGGGUGUUAUGCAUGACCCAUAAGAAUCAGCCUCCGAAACCGGAGGCUAAGCUGGCUUUACAGAGCAGCGGGAAUGCCUUCUUCGCGCAAUGGACUCAACAAGCCGGUACCUCAGUCAAUCCACCAUUGGCCCAACUCAGACACCCAUCUUUUCUUUUUUUUUUUGGAAUACAAUCUUAAUAUUUGUAAAGUGCACUUGAUAGCAUAGUGCCUCAACAAACAGGUAUUCUUCAGUGCAAAACUGCAACCUAAUAUCCUGGAGCAUUUCAAUCUAGCUACUCGGUAAUAAUGAACUUUUAGAUGGUGCAUUUGAUACAUGAGGAACAAAAUGUCCAGUUUUAUUUAUAAAUGGACUACCUGACAGUAGAUGACCAAGCCCGCUGGAAAUAAUCAACCAAACAGAAAAAGGCCGACCAACUUGAGAGUUUUUUGUUGCUAUAGUCUAAUCCACAUGGAAACUAACGUCUGUCAGAGACACAACCGCAAACAUAAACAUCAUAAGAAAACCAGAGAAACAGCAAUAAUUAUAUUUCAGUGUCCAAUCUUUUAAGGGAACAGGGUCAAUAGCCCAUGAAUGUAUAGUCAAAAGAAAGAAGUGAAAAGCCAAUCCAAACUUCAGAUAAUGAGAAACACUAGCAAUACAACUGUACUCACAUUUGGUACUCUUCGAAGACAAUGGAUGGAAGUUACAGUUGCAAUUGCAGUGUCGAGGAAUAAUAAUAAUCAUCAGAACAAUAAACAAUUUCUUUGAAUUGCGACAUUAACAAGCCAGAAACUGUUUGAUCUCGUCAACAAAUGUAUCCAAAUUAAUUGCAAAACUGCACAUCUAUCUUUCCUUCAUAUACCCUCAACAAGAGAGGUACCUCCUCCUCAUAUUUGAUCACAAAUCGAUCCAGAAAGCACUUCUCUGUUGGAACCAAGACAGUAGCCAAGCUCACAUCUUUUUUUACCAAUCCCUUGUUCAUCAGAACCCGAAUAACUCGACACCUAGGGACAAUUCUCUUUUCCAAGCUGAAAAACAAUAACACAGGGCAUUGAGCAAUGACCUUGGAGGGUAACCCCAUCUUAUUCACAAAGAAAUCCAUUGCUAACAUGAUUUUCUUCUCCGACAGCAUCAUACAAUGCGGGUGUUUCUUAAAUGCUGCAAAGAUGUCAUCUUUAGACCAAUCCCACCUUUUAUACACCUCAAAACACUUGUUCCAGAUUGCCUUAUUACUCUUCCCAGAAAUUGCAUGUACAGCCAUCACAAAAAUUGAUUUCUUUGGAUCAAAUCCCAUUUCCUUAACCUCUUUCACCACUUUAUUAAACUCACCAUGCCUCUGUAACACCGCCUCAGGGAAAUUAGUCAGCAGCAAAGAAAUACAAGAAUGUGUGACUCCUAUUUCUCUUAAACGCUCAACAUUUGGCAUUAAAUUCUUGGAAUAAUCCUCUAGAAAAAUCCAAGUAGUACGCUUUAAAGCAGAUACAAUCUUCUCAUUCGAUAACAAAAUACUUUUGAGAAAGUUAUAAGAGGGUACAAUUUGAUUCUCUAUGCUUCUAGUCAAAAGAGUAGGGUCUGAAGAGAGGGUUCUAGCAAGAUCAGAACUUGAAACCCCAAUAGAGUAAAAGAACUCAAGUUUAGGCAAAAGAGUAUUAUGGGCAUGCGCUAAAAGUAGAGAAGGUCGUUUCUUUACAAGACUUGAGAUCUGGGUUUUGGUGAAUCCUCGGUCUUUCAAAAGGGCAAGAACUGUGUCUGCUCUUUUCGGUGAUUCUAAGUGUACUUUUUGAGAAGAUGAGAUGGCGGCUUCGAAGGAUAAUCCACAUGAGUGCACAAGAUAGUCUACUGUGAAUGAGUCUCGAUUAGUUGAGAUUUUGGAAGUGAGUACCUUCAGGAGUGGCUCGCUUUGUAGAGAGACAGCUGGUGUUGGUAGCCGCCGUAAGGAUCUUAUUGAAAAGGGCAUUUUGCUGGAAAUCAAAGUGAAGGAGAUAGCAACACCGUCCAGUGUAAAUCUACGGAGAUGUUGGACAAUUUCCACUAUCCAUUUCUAAGGACGAGGAUGACUGAAAUCCUCAAAAGGAUUCUCUUGUCUUCUGGCUUUUAGAAUACUGGAGUUUUGAGCGACUGCUAGGCUAAACGACAUGUUAAUUUUCCCAUAUGUUCAUACGACAACGAAGUUCUUCCGCCGUUUUCAGAUUAGGAGUCCUUUUCUUGUCACUUUUAAGUCACCGCGAACAGACAAACGACAUGUAAUUUUAUUUUCUCCCAGACCAAGAUAAUCUGCGUGUAAAUGAAACCCACGAAAAGCUUUAUAUAGCAACAAGAUUCUCGGAAAGCAAAGCUCCAAGGGGUUCACCUGCAGACAUGAGCUACCAUCUUAUAAUUGAGAAAAUUAUUCUUUGUCCUUGCGAGCAAGCACUGCUGUAAUUUUCUACCGGGAUUUCCAUUUCGUCGUUGUUGGUUGAAUUUAUAUGGGUCACCUGAAAGAUUACCAGACCACAUAGAUCAAACAAGAUAAAACGAGUGGGAAGGAAAGGUGCAGAUUCACUUGACGUUAACACACUAAUUUGUUAGGAUCAUGUGAUCCUGGAGCAGCAACCACAGUAUGAUCAAACUCUAAAGAAGGCUGCGGCCAACUAACACAAAAAGCACACCUGUCUGCACUAGUGAAGAUAUUGAGUUAAGAGUAGACCUGUUCAUGGCCGUGCGUCCCCGCCCCGCCCGCCUAUAGGCUCGCAUCCUUCGGGGCGGGACUUGGACAAUAAUUUUUUAGCACAAAUCCGGCCCGGCCUGAUGUCUAGUUUAAUUAGUAAAAAAAAAAUAUCAUACCUAGCACUCAAACGACUUUCAAUUUAUAAUUAAGUGCUAUAUACUACUUAACUAUCUAUUAUUUCUAUUUAUAGUUUUAUUAUUAUUAAUAAUAUAUUAAUCAAAACAAAACCCUAAAUUUAAAUAUAUCUACAAUUAGAAACAGAUUUAAUAAUUAAUUGGGCUGAAUUGGACCGGACUUUUUAAAAAAUUUCAAGCUCAAACUUGAGCUUAGAGAUAUCAAAAAAAUUUCGAACCUGGACGGGCUAGAGCUUAUUCAAAAUCAAGUCAGGCCCAGCCCGAACCCGGCCCAUGAACAUGUCUAGUUAAGAGGGACGGCUUGAUGCAUUAUAGACUUACAGGUAAAUGCCUUGCGGAGUACAGGAAGUAGUUGAAAAUAGGAAGUAGUUGAAAAUAAGUAUACAAUUCGCAUAACAAGAAGAUAUACAUAUUGAAGAAGUCGUGGAAGUUCUGCAUCAAGUUGGCUUGAUGAUCAGUGUCAGAAAGAUAUGACAAGAAACUUGUUAAAGAAUAGAAAAUAUGCCCAGCAACAUCGUAGAAUUUUGUUGCUCCUCUUUUAGGUAUGUGCACAUCAUCCACUUGGACAACUGAUGUAUGUUAAAGUUCAGAAUCACAAGCAUAAAGAUCAUACGGAAACCAUUACAGCAGCAUAAUUGUACUUCAAUGUCCAAGUCUUUAAGAGAAAUGAUAACAGCAGUACUGUCAAAGUAGAGCCAAUACAAAUAUACAGCCAAUCCAAACUUCAAAAGAAAAAGAAACUAUUCACAAACACAACUCAUUUUCAAAUAAGAAUGCAAGUCAAUUGCAAUUGCAGUGUCGAGGAACAGCAAAUAUCAGUCAAGAGUAGUGAACAAUUUCUUUGAUUUGCGACAUUAAUAGGCCAAAAACUGUUUGAUCUCCUCACCAAUUGCUAUAUAUCCAAAUUAAAUGCUUCCUCCACAUCCCUCUUUCCUUCAUACACACUCAACAAUCGAGGUAUUUCCUCCGCAAAUCUGGUCACAAACCGGUCCAAAAAGCACUGCUCUACUGGAAGCAAGACGCUAGCCAAGCUCACAUCUUCCUUUACCAGUCGCUUGUUCAUUAAAACCCGGAUAACUCUACAUCUAGGGACAAUUCUCUUCUCCAAGCUGAAAAACAAUACCACAGGGCAUUGAGCGAUGACCUUGGAAGGAAACCCCAUCUUGUUCACAAAAAAGUCCAUCGCUUUCAUGAUUUUCUUCUCUGAUAGCAUCAUACAAUGUGGGUGUUUCUUAAAUGCCGCAAAUAUAUCAUCUUUAGACCAACCCCACCUCAUAUAUACCUCAAAACACUUAUUCCAAAUUGACUUGUUACCUUUCCCAGAAAUUGCAUGUACAGCCAACACGAAAGUUGAUUUCUUUGGAUCAAAUUCCAUUUCCCUAACCUCCUUCACAAUUUUACUAAACUUAUCAUGCCUCUGCAUCAAAGCCUCAGGGAAAUGAGUCAGCAGCAAAGAGAUACAAGAAUGUAGCACGCCUGCUUCUCUUAAAAGCUCAAUAUUUGGUAUUAAAUUCUUUGAAUGAUCCUCUAGAAAAAUCCAAGUAGUACGCUUUAAAGCAGAAACGAUCUUCUCAUCAGAAAGCAAGAUACUUUUGAGGAAGUUAUAGGAGGGUAUAAUCUGAUUUUCUAAGCUUCUAGUCAAAAGGGUAGGGUCUGAAGAGAGGGCUCUAGCAAGAGCAGAGUUUGAAGCCCCAAUAGAGUAAAAGAACUCGAGUUUAGGCAAAAGAGUAUUCUGGGGAUGAGCCAAAAGAAGAAAAGGCCGCUUCUUUACAAGACUUGAGAUCUGGGUUUUGGAGAAUCCUCGAUCUCUUAAAAGCGCAAGAACUGCGUCAGCUCUUUUCGGUGAUUCUAAGUGUAUUUUUUGAGAAGCUGAAACUGCAGCUUCUAAGGAUAACCCACAUGCGCGUACAAGGUAAUCUAUAGUGAAUGAGUUCUCUUUAGUUGAAAUUUUGGAAGUGAUUGCUCUGGGAAGUGGCUCGCUUUGGAGAGAGACAAAUGGUGGUUUUAGCUGCCGCGAGUAUCCGACUGAAAAGGGCUGUUUGCUGGAAAUUAAAGUGAAGAAGAUAGCCCUGUUGUCCAGUGUAAGAGUGUGGAGAUUUUGGACGAUUUCCAUUAUUAUCGAUUUCUAAGAACGCGGAUGACUGAAAUCCUUAAAAAGGAUUCUCUUUCUGUCUGCUGGGUUGUAGAAUUAUUGGAUUCUGAGCGACUGCUUGCCAGCCGAACAACAUAUUAUCUAUUUAUCAAGUAAAUGUUCAUACGAGAAGGAAAUUCUUCUGCCGUUUUCAGACUGGAGGAACUUUUCUUUUCUCCUCGAAAGAGAGUGCAAACAAAUGACAUGCGCUUUUACUUUUUUUUAAACCGGGAGAAUCGAGUUUGAAUCAAGACCAAUCUUUCAAGUCGUCCCAUUGAGAGCUGCAGCAAGUGUUCAAAUCUUAAUGGGUGCUUAACAUAGUAACUGGAAAUUAAAUGGAACCAGAAUAAUUUCUUGGAAGGCCAAGGCAGAUCAACUCGCAUAUGCAUAUAAUCGGAUUAACGGAGAAUUCAUUUUCAUUGAAACAUUGCUGGGCAACUUUUUGAGUGCCAUAGAAAUAGCAUGGAUGGCCAUCAACCGCCUGAUCCGGAACAAACAUUUAAUCAAAAGGUACCAAGUAACAUUGUCAAGAGAGCUACCUACUACUAAAUCUACGUGAAUGUACAAUUUACAUUGUUGUAGCAUAGGCCAGGGGUCAUAAUAAAAGUUGUCUUCCUGCUCCGGGUCUCCACCAUACAUCACCUCAACUAGAGACCAUGCUGAUAUCCACCAGUUUCGUCCCCUGGCCUGAUUCUCAACUAGUGAAAAUAUUUCUACAAACACCUACAAUAUCCAUUGCAGUCAUGAAAUGGAAAGCUUUAUACAGCAGCAGGUUUCUUGGAAAGCAAAGCUUUAAGAGAUUUGGGGUCUGUAACUGGGGGACUGCAUGUGAAGUUUUGGCAGACAACAGCUACCACCUUAUCUGCAGUAAAAUUAUUCUUUGCCAUGAGAGCAAUGUUGCUAUUAUUGUCUGCCCAAAACUCCAUUUCUUCAUUGUUUGUUGGAUCUAUAUGAAUUACCUGCAGUUAAUUACAGCAUGGAAAGAUUAUCAAACCGCAUAGAUCUAAAAGGGUAAAACCAGUAGAAAGUUGAAGUGCAGAUUCAUAGACUUGAUGUUGACUUACUGUUUUAUUGGGAUCAUACGAUUCAUGAGCAGCAGCCAGCAUAUCAUCCAACUCUGAAGAAGGCUUGUGGCCAACUAAGACAACUUGCUUCCUGGAAGGCACUGAAAUCAUGUCUGCAGCACAACACAUCAAGGGCACCGCCAUAGCCAUGUCUUUUAGUCUCGUCUCAAAAACUGCCUGUAUCAAAAUUGAACAAAUUGUUACUUGCAGUUCAACAACUCUUAUAAGUUGAAUACUAAUUUCAUUUCAAGAAUCAUUUUGAACGGAGUAAACAUUACCAGAAGAUGCUCUGCAUUGUGUCUGUAACAUUCGGAUUUACUACCAGUCACCAUAGAGGCCAACCUUAUGAGAUUAAUUGCAGAGACCGAGUUCCCAGAGGGCUCUGCUCCAUCAUGGUCUUCUUUUACUCGGAGGAGAACUGAAGGAUCUUCCCCAGGGGUAUUAAAAUAGCCUCCCCCCUCUUUAUCAAGAAAUAAUUCAUCCUGGAGAUAUGUGUUGGAGCAAAUUUGCAGUUAUGUACCAGACCCUAAAUGCUAUUUAUCUGGGGGGAAAUGAACUCAAGUAAUUUCUACCUGGGUGUUCUGCAGUUCAGUUGCCCACACUAGCCAGUAGAUCCCACCACCAAAUUCGUAAAGAUCUAGCAGCCCAGAUAUCAAAAAAGCAUAAUCAUCUAAGAACCCAGGUGCUUUAGAUGGACCAUUCCUAAAGCUGUGCUGAAGCCGGCGUGUUUGUUCUUCAUAGAGGUGUUUUCUAAUAAAUGUUGCUGCGUUCUCUGCAACUUCUAUAUACUCCCGGGGCUGGAAUUUACAGAAUAGCAUACACAGAACAAUCAGAACUCGCAGUGUCAUUUUGAAUAAGAUUCCAUAUUCAUCCCAUUAAUUUGAAGUUUAGUUCAAUUUUGACAUGCACCAACAGCACCAGCUCAUUUGCUAGACAAUUAAAAGUUGAAAAAGGCACAGAUGCCAAUGUCUACAGGCUCGAGUUGUAGAUUACUACAAAAGUACUAUCCCAUUUAAUAAGAUGACCUCACAAUACAGUGAUUAAAAUGCACAGAAGUUGUAUAAAACAGGGCUUCACACUAGGACACUAGGAUUGCACAAAAUAUCUAAUUCACAUUAAUAUCUUUCAUGGGAAGGAUAAUGUAAAAGCCAAGAAGUGUAUUAACAAGUUCACAUUCUAUAUCUUAGAUGGUUAGACCUACAAUGGAAGGGAAUACUUGAAUGAAAACUUGGACCUCCAAGUACUAGAUAUGCAUAGGACAUGGCCUCAACCUACACAGAUAAAACUAUAAGGAUAAUGAUGCCGUCAGAGCACUUUCUUCAAAAGAAGGCAAAAGUGAUGAAUAUUCAACUAGAUCUAUUUCAUCCAGAGUCCCAGAACCAAUAUGGAUACAAAAAAUACUUACAUCACAACCAACAACAGGAAAGUUAUAUCUUGUGCCCUCACUUUCUCUCUUAAGAAUCUUAGAAGCUCUUGCAAAAGCUGAAAUUGCAAGUCCAUUCCAUGAUACAAUUACCUGCAAGCACCUGAUCUGUCAAAGGCUUGACAAACAAGAAAGAACUGAGAAGCUAAGCAACUUUGAAGAAAUUAUGGAAUACCUUAUCAUCCAAAUGUGGCCUUGGUCGUCUUGCUCUUACAUCAAAAAGCAUUCGCUUGCUUUCACCCAAAAUAUCUUGAUAUUUUUCAAUGGGUAAGCCAUGUUUUGAUGCCAAUGCUGAGGGAUCAUUUAAUUCAAUAAGCACAUUUUUUCCCUUAAAUUCUUUAUGAGGAUCACUCAUUCUAGAAAGGUCGCAAUUGCCAAGAGGCUUUAUGUAAUAAUGAUCCUUAAAAAGAGUUGCAUGCUCUCCAAGGAUGUCAUCAAUCUUUAAAAGGGAAGAACCAAGUAGAAAAAUCAGAUUAGCACAAGUAUAUACAGGCUGUAGAAUGCAACAAUGCCACACAAACAUUCUUCUAAAACAGUUCAGAAGAAGAGGGUUUUUGUGAAUUAACAAAUGAAUCAUUCAGCUCGUACACUAGUUUGUUUAUCAAAAGAUGUAUAUAUAUUAAAUUGUCAUUAUCUGCAUAAUAGAACAUACUCACAUUGUAAUUUGAAGCACUGAUUGAAAUGUAGAUGUUAGCGUUUUGCUAAUCAUGACAAAUUGCAAGGUAUUGCAUAUUUGCCACAUGACAAAGAUGACAUCCCAUAAGCAAAAUGAAGGACAAGUAGUCUCAAAUAUACCUCUUUAUCGGUCCAGACGUAGAAGGCUCCUUCCCUUUUCUUUUUAGCACCUUCAUGCUCAGCACUAUCAGCAUCCUCAGCGGAAAAGAUUUCACCCUUUUGUCCAAUCAUAUCCCUUCUCAAAUAAUCAAGAAUAUCCCGUGAUACAAACGAAUAAAAGACAUCAUUGGUAAUGGAGAACGCAUCCAAGUAAAUAUUAGCAAGUUGGCCUUGAUCAUACAACAUUUUCUCAAAAUGAGGAACUACAAGAAAGGACAACAAUGUCAAUAAUUCCAUCAUCAUAAGCACCCCAAAAGUUGGGAUACCUUCUCAAAAAGCUAUAUCAACGAAUUCACCUGAUCAUCUGCUUUAGAACUUAGAAGGAUAUUUUGGGAAAUGAUAUUUUCAUAGAACAUUACACUUACCAUGCCAACGUUCAUCCACACUGUAUCUGUGAAAGCCACCUCCAAUGUGAUCAUGGAUUCCCCCUUUUGCCAUGCAUUGCAAGCUAGAGAAAACCAUCUUAAAACCUUCCUUUGCGUCAUCAACCUUUUCAGAAUCCUCCAACUUUUUUGCAUGGUAAAGCAUCAAUUGGAUCUCAACAGGUCUAGGAAACUUAGGGGCAGAUCCAAACCCACCGAACCUGGCAUCGUAACUUUGAGAAAGCUGCAAGAGAAAUGAGAAAUAUAAGACACCGUAAGGUAGUAAGAUGGCACAAUAGUUGAGACGUAUAAAACAAAAACAAAUAUCCAAAAAAAAAAAAAAAGAUUUUCUAACAUUUAAAAGACAUUCAGGCUAACAAAAUAACUAGAGCACGGACUGGAAAUUUAAUUCUAGAAGGAUGUUGAUGAGAGAAUUAAGAUUGGUCAAAUAAAUAGACUCCAAGGUCAAACCAGCUCACAAUUGAGGUCAAAUGAAUUGCCAAAUGGAAAAAGAAAUGUCCAAGCUCUCUGCAAUGCAUAUGGAAAUGAAGACUACAAUUUAAAAGAGAUGCCCAAAAGAAAAAAAGCUUAAUUCUUUUGUUAGGCAAUCAUGUGACUAAGUUGUUCAUUCACAGUUUUUUUUUUUUUUUUUAUUAGACAUAAAACAAAGCGCCAAGCUCUAGUUGGCAGUUGCAAUAAGAUCAUACUUGCUCUGCACACGAACGCAAAGCAUUUUGUGGAAGUCCAUCUGGCAAUUUAUUUGUACUUGCACUUGCUGAUAAUGCUUCAGACAGCUGCUCAAUGGCGAAGGCUCCACUCUUAAUCAGCACAUCCCUCUUCUUGUCCCAAGCAUCCUUCACCUUUCUAAAACAGGACAUAUACUGGAUUGACCAAGCAGAGAAACCAAGCAAGACUGAAUCUAAAACCGAUUUUCCUUCCAAUUUAAUUUAUUUGUGAGUAGUCAUUACAACACCAAGAAAAGUGAGCACAAGGAGAGAAUCAGAGGAGAAUCAAAAUACUCUCACCUUAGUAAAGUCUUAAAUCCUGGUCUUCCAUAAUUAUCUUCUGGGGGAAAGUAAGUCCCGCCCAUUAAAGGUUUCAAAUCAGGUGAGAGAAAGACACUAAGUGGCCAUCCUCCACCGCCAUACAAUGCUUGCACGAAUGUCAUAUAAACCUAUAAAGAUUAACCAUCUGCUCAGCACACGAUGUAGGGGAUCAAAAAAUUAAUAAAAUGUACUCGUGUUUUUUAAUAUUCACUUGUUUUACAGACAAGCAGUUUUUAGAGGCAAGUUCACUUCAAAACGGAAGCAAGGCCCAAUGCAUUUAAUAGUCUUAUACUAUUAUGCUGUGUCUUCUUAGUCAUGUAUAAGUAAUGCAGUUUUAGCAUUGUAGUUCGUAGGUGGUUCUAUAUAAAUAAGCCUGCAAGACCAUGAUCAAACAACUGACAUAAUCAUAAGGCUUACCUUAUCAACAUCUGGUCGUUCCUCUCGAUCCACCUGUAGCAUUGACAUGCUGGUUUAGAAUGGUUUAUAAAGCAGUUGGUUAUGCAGAAUUAAAAGAAAAGCAAAAUAAAACUGACCUUAAUACUAACAAACCAAUCAUUCAACAAUUUUGCAACGCUUUCGUCCUCAAAAGACUCCACCUCCAUAACAUGGCACCUUAUUCACAAUAGGCACACAAUUAAUACCCCCAUCAUCCGUGGAUAUCACUCAAACUAAGUGUCCAAUACGAAACCAAAUAGAUAAAGAAAGUCUCACCAAUGACAAGUGCUGUAUCCAACUUUAAAGAAGAAGCACCAGAGUAAAUCCAAGGCCACGAAAANNNCGAAAAACCCAAAAUCAAUUCAUAUCAGCCAUCAAUUUCUCAAAACAUUAAAACAAUAGAAGCAAUAUAGAAAAGGAAAAUACUGGAUAAGAAGAUAGGCACAUCUCUUCUUCGUGCUUCAGCGAAAGCUUCUUCACCCCAUGGAUACCAAUCAACCUUUUUCAAUUCGUUCAAAUAUAUAUUAUAAAUCUGAAGACAAAACAGAAAACAGAAAACCGGAGAAGUUAAAAGGAACAAUUACAGGGUUAUGGGCGUGUUGUAGAAGAUAAGGACUGUGCUCAGCAGCAAGACGGUUAGUGUGCUUAUGAGAAGUGGAAGUGGUUUCGGCAGGACGUUCAGCCAUCGCAAGGACAGUGUGAGUGUGAAAAAGGGCAGGAAGAGGCCAAGAAAAUGAGGUUAGAGAAGAGCGAUAAGAUGUUAGACACGAAGAUGAUAAUUUAUUACCAGUAAAAGGAGUAAGGAAGUGGCGAGAAAAACAAGAAGAAGUAGAGAGAAGAAGUGUUUUUCUAAGCAUAGAAGAAGAUUGCGGAAGUGAGGAAUGUGAAAGUAUAGGAUUAUUAAUACUAUUAAAAGAUAAGAAGAGAGAAUGGUUCGGUGGAGAAGAAAAUAUUUGUUUGAGAAGUGUUGCCAUAUGUGAGGAGGUUUGAUUUGAUCAGAGGAGCCAUUGUUGACAUGUGGAGUUUGAACUUUCAAGUGCUCUUCUCUUUUGACAUCUGUCCUCUUUCUUUCCUGCCUUUAAAGAUAAUACAUGUUAUUUAUAACUCAUCUCAUCCCUUGAUGUCUCAUUUUCAAAUAAAAGAAUUAAUUUUUAUUAUUUUUAUAUAUUUAGUUUAAUAUUUAUAUUUCUAAUUUAAUUUAACAAAUAGAUAUAAUGAAUUUUAUAAUAUCUAUAAAUAAGAUUUAAUUUUUUAUAAUUAGUUUUAUUAAUUCUAAUUAAUUAAAAAACGCCGGAUAGUACAAAAUGAAAAGAAAUACUCUUUUACGCUUUCCCUCUACUUUCUAUUGUGCCAAUCAAUUAACCUUCAACAAUCCAUUGCUUUAUAUUUUUCAACGAAAUAGUGGUAAUAAUAGUGUUAACCAUUCUAUAUUUAUUUUAUUUUAUGUUGUUUCAUUUAAUCAUUAGAAAUAAUAUAAUUCAAUGUAAUAAGAUGUUGACAGGCACUAUGCGAUUCCAUGCUCGCAUCCCUUUUCUUUAUUCAUAUGUAAUGAUUAAUCCCAAAUUAUGUGAGUACUUUGCUCAAAUAAAUGUUCUUUGAAUAAGGCAAGUUAUGAUGUAAUUAUAUUACAUUCCCAGUGAUAAUUUAGUUACAUGACAAUAUCAUUGCAUGGUACAUACUUCUAUCUUCGACCCAAUUUUUUUUUUCCGUUUGAAAAAAGAAAGUUGCCUAAACAACUUUGCUCUAUGCUUACCCAUGUUAAGAUAUGUUCGCCAUGAAAAAUUUACAAGGUAAACAUCCCAGCGGCAGCCAAUUCUUUUUACCCCGCCGCAUUGCUCUCCAGCAUUUUUGGGGUGGGGUUUGUUCACUAACUCAAGAACGUUUUGAGUAUAGAAAGCAUUUUGUUAAUCAGGCAGCUGGUGCACCCACAGACUCUGCAAGUUCUUCCAGAAGUUCCUUCUGCUCCGUAGAAGCACAUGCCUACAAAAAAGCAAGCAUUUGGGGAGAGCGGUGAGGUUCAAUAUUCUUAUUAUGCUGGCAGAUAUUAUAUUAAUUUUCCAGCCAGAUAAAAGAACAAAAAUGAAGAACGAAAGGAAGGAAGAGCAUAUUAAAACAAAAAAAGAACAAUAUGCCGUCUGCGAGAAUGAAUACCUGCACUGCAUUCUCUAUAUCACCUUGAAGAAAAGAUGUGAGCUCGAAGUUCAUCUUUAACCGGUGAUCAGUGACUCUAUUGUCCUAGUUACGUAGGAUAGAUGUUAAUAACCUUCCUUAAACUUAUCUCAGUAUGUCGAGCAAUGAAUCAUCAGGCAAAUAAAUAAUUCAUUUUUACAUAGUCUGAGAAAGAGCAGAAGAAGUUUGUCAUUGCACAAAAAGGCGUCAGCCAAUUAAAUACCUUGUAAUUGUAUGUUCGAAUCUUUUCUGCACGAGCACCUGUUCCGACCUGCAUUUUUAAGAAUGCAAUAGAAGUCAUACAUUAGUCCAAUACCACAGCAAUCCAAAAGGCAUACGUAAGUUUGACACUUAAAGCAUGUUUGGUACACCAUAAUAGAGAGUAAUAAAAAUGUACUUAGAAUCAAUUUCAGCUUAUAAUUUAAAAUUUCUUUGCUCAUAUUUCACUACAUUCAGUUACUUUAUAUGGAAACACACUUGAUAUGCAAAACUAAAGAUAAAAAAGAGGCCACCUAGAGUACUAGAGAUCAUAUAGCCUCUAAUAACUGAUAACAUUAGAAAUACAAGAAAAAGAAAGCCCAUUACAUUUGCUCCUGAACUAUUGUAAUCUCUCAUGGAUCUUAUGUGACCUUAAAGUAACAUAUACCUGUAAUUUUCGUUGAUUCCUUAUUGACUCUUGCUGCUCCCUCACUUUCAUCUCAUACCUGUGACAUGUUUAUGUUUUAUGAUCAAUUUAUCAGAAUAGGAGGAAUAAAUUAAGGGGAUCAAUCUAUGUCUUGUCCAUUAAUGAGCAAGUAUUACAUUUAAAAACAAAUAAAUAUGUACAUGAAAACAAAAGGAGAAACUACAGUUUACAUGUAACUUUGGUCAACUAAAUGGAAGAAGUUCAAGAACUUGUUACAAAGAGGUUCAAUGAAUGAGGCAAUAUGGGAACAUAAUUAACGCAAGCACAAGUAUAUAUGAAACUCGAGAUUAUAACAAUAUAUUGUAGUUGGUACUAACAGCUUCGCCCGCAGAAGCUGGAGAGCACGGGUCUUAUUCUGGAGUUGCGUCCUUUCUUCAGUACAAAAUAUGCGGAUUCCCGUUGGUUUGUGAAAAAGAUCAACAGCCGUUUCCACCUUGUUGACAUUUUGCCCUAUAGGAGGUCAUGCACAAAACUGUUUGAAAAGAUGCCUUUAAUCUAUUCUCCCAUUUCCUGGGGUGCAUGUAAGGAGGGGUAGGGAGGAAGAGAGAUGGAGAACCAACAUUUUAUUAAAUUAUGAGCUAAUAUCAGCUAUUUCAUACCUCCAGCACCUCCAGACCUAGCUGUUGUAAGUUCAAUAUCCUUUGGAUCAAUUACCACCUCAACUUCAUCUGCCUGAAUCCAGAAUAAAGCAUAAGUAUAAGAACUGCCAUACACUAAAAAGGAAAAAUGAAGUAGUAAGGACUAGUAUCAGAUUUAUCAAGUUAGCUACAUCAUGACUAUUUUAUCAGGACCAAUAUCAAAAUCUUCAAUAAAAAGAAAAAGGAGUACCAGUUCUACACCUUUACAUGAAGACCUUAAUGUGAGUCAUGUGUUAUGAGAAGAAUUAAGAAUUAAGUUCAGCCACAUCAUGGCUAUCUCAUCAGGACUGAUAUCAAAAUCUUCAGCAAAAAGGAUUAUCAUUUCUACAUCUUUGCAUGAAUCCAGAAUUAUAAAAUACAUCAAUCUCCAAUAUAUUUCAAGUAGAAUACGGAAGCCAUCAUCAAGGAUUUAAAUUUUUUACUAAAACUUGAUCUUGCAGUAUUAUUCAGGAAACAUCAUAACUUAGUUAAUAUUAGCUUGCUUCAGCAUGAUCAGGGAUGCACAGAGCUCAUUGCAACAUCUCCGUCCAGGCUUCAGUAUAAGACAUAUACUAAAAAAUGCAUCAAAUCAUUAAUGUUGUGCAGGAAUACAUUACCUAAAGACAAGAUAUACUUUACCUCAGGCAUGAUGGCUACAGUUGCAGUAGAAGUAUGCACACGUCCCUGUGUUUCUGUCUGAGGAACCCGUUGAACUCGAUGAACACCAGAUUCAUAUUUUAAUUUGCUGUAAACACGAUUCCCUUUUACCUCCAUCACAUAGGUUUUGUAUCCACCCUUUUCAGCCUUAUAUAGUAAAAGAGUUUGCCAGUCAAAAAUCAACAAUUGGGAACAAACUUCUGCUGAUAUAUCAAUAAGAUCUAACCUCAGAACAUGAAACUAUAGCGUACUUCCAAGAGUUCUGCUCACAGUAUUUCUCAUACAUGCGAACCUUAGCACUCAAAAAGAAGAUGUAAAAUUUGCAUCAGGAAAUAUAGAACUAGAGCAGUAGAGUUUGAAACAAAAACAUGAAAAUUUAGUAGCACAAGAGAAGCAUGUACCUACAAGAUCACCAGCCCAGAGUCCAGCCUCAUCACCACCAGUUCCUGCCCUUACUGCAAAUGAAGAGAAAAAGUAAACUAAUGAUCAGUGAAGCAAAAGAGAAUAAGUACCUAAAAUUAGAGGAUAUGCAACUGUUCCCAAUUGUUUUCUAGACAUGUUAGAUUCUCUACCAUUAAGAAAAUCACUAAAUAGCCACAAUUGAGAUCCCCAGCAAACAAUAAUUGCUAGAAACAACAGUGCGUCACUGUCUAUUCCUACACAGCAGAUGACAUAAAAACAACUGAGAUAAAGAGACAAAGAAUCUUUAACUGGAAAAGAUAUACAACCUUCAAGCAUUAUAUUUCUUGCAUCAAGAGGAUCACUAGGUAGUAGUAGUACCUGCCAAAUGUCAGAUAUGAGAUAAACAGAGAAAAAGGGUCAUGUCAAAGACACAAUAAUUAAAUGUCAAUAAGGAUAUGAAAAAAGGCUUCAGAUAUGAGAUAAACAGGGAAAAAGGGGUCAUGUCAAAGACAUAAUAAUUCAAUCUCAAGAAUAAGGAAAUGUGAUAAGGCAAUUCCUCUACACUACAAUGCCUAGAGUUGCACAUGUGCACCGAAUGAACAAUUUAAUUAAUGACCUAAUUUCAGUCCAAGAUGUUGGCAUUGGAAAGGAAUCAAUUUCCAAUGCUAUCCAGAGAUAACAUAAUGUGCAUUCGGACAACCCAACAACUAAUAGGACAUGAGAAUUAUAAUAUUGAAAAAUAACUGGAAAAGUUUGAACAGGAAACCUUAAGCUUUUCCUCCAGCCCUUUAAGUUCAGUGGAUAAAGAAUCAAUUUCCAAUGCUAUCAUCUCAGCCAUAUCCUCAUCAGUUCCUUCCUCUUUUGCUAAAGCUGCAAUAUUAUGAUAAAAUGAAAAUGAUCCUUAAAUUAAACCUUCUUGAAUGGAAAUUAAACAGGAAAUAGGCAAUGCGAGGCUACACCUUUAGUUUCUUCUAACUGCUUUUCACAAUCCUUGAAUCUCCUAUAAACUGACACAACCUAUUAAUCCAAAUACAGCACAAACUACAGUCAACGAAAUAAAAAAAAUAAAAAGAAAAGUAAUCAACAGGCCCGAACUGCAAUAAUUACUUGAUCGAGCUCUGCCACAGAUUGUGCAAGCUUUUGGUAUUCAGUUGGAUUCGAGACAACAUCUGGAUCAGCCAGCUUGACCUGCAAUAUAUCUUGUGUAAGCUGAUGUUCGAUGCCUAUACUUAUUAAUUGAACUCCAAUAUCCAGCCUAUAAAUGCACAUUUCCAUUUUGAGAAAUCAAACUCCUAGAAAACCUAAAUUCGUUGUGUUUGGAAAGUCUAAUGCAAGCAAUAAUUCAAUUCUAUAUAAUUAUAUUCAGUCAAUUAUCAUGCCUGGAAAGUUUGUAAUUGCUGGAAUUCAAUUCUUUCAACUUAAAAUUUGAGAAAAGAAAAAGAAAGUGAACGAUGUACCGAUAAUUCUUUCCACGUUUUCUCUGCUGAUUCCAGCUUCGUUAUCAAGUAAGGCUCCUGCAGUUCAAUUCACUUUAUAGAAAGUUAGAUAUACAUUUAAAAUUCUUAUUACUCAAUUUUUUUUUUUCCAUUUUAAUUAAAAACGGAAAAUCACACGCACCGCCAUGCAAAUGAUUCUAGGUUUUCUGCGAGUUGUUAAGGGUUUAAGAAAAAAAGAAUUAUUUCUCAAUUGAAAUCGAAAAUGUCGUCGUAUUGGAAGUUGAUUGGGAGUAGUAAGCAUCCGAGCUGUGAAGCUCAUCGUUAAACUGGUCAUUGGUGUCGUUUAAAUUAUAUAGUGAAUUUUGAGGAGAGGACGCGAGCUCAGGUUCUGUAUCAGAUGGAAGAAAAAAGACAGGGAAAGAAAGAAAGAUAGCAAAUAGAGUUUUGAGAGGACUGAAUGGCUCGAGGGGCAACUGAUAAGGGUCUGUUUGGUUAUAUGGGUUUGUAUAAACUAGACCCAAUCCGGUGUGUCGGGUUAACGGGCUUAAGGUAUUCUUCCAUCUUUUUGUCCGUGUCGAGAGACUACAAAUUCCGGUUCAAGGUUGACUCGACUCAAAUUAUUGAAGUUCAAAAUAUAAUUCCACUCUGUUGAGUUUAUUUUUCAUACUUCAGCCACUUUGUUAUUGAAAAACAUUUCAUCGAUUAUAGCAAUAAAAAUAUAAUUAAUAUCAAUCUUAAUUUAAAUAGUAUGUUAUUUUUUAAAAUUAAAUACAAAUAUGUUAAAUAAUAUAAAAUCAAUUAAUCAAUUAAAUUUAAAACUAUCUAAUCAAGUAGUAUAAAAUUCAGAGUUAAUUUGAUUUAUUACUUUAACUAAGUGAAUACAAAUUAACUUGUUUUAAUAAAUAUAACUCUAAAAUUUUUUUAUAUUAACUUAUUUUAACAAAAUUUUAAGAUGUGUUAUGAAAUAAAUAAAUAUUUUAUUAUUUUAGAUUUAAGAAUUCUCAGGCCUUGAAACUUAUUAAUAAACCUGCAUUUUAUUUAAAUAAUCAAACUAUAAUUUUCUUUUAUCAUCUUUAUCUUUAACAUCCUAAAUUUAAUUGAACACUGAUUAUAAUUGUUUUGUUAGAAUUCUUACUUAUCUUGGUCAUAAGCUAUUUUUAAAAUAUUACUAUCUGACAGUAUUAUUUUUCAUUAAUAUCUUAAAAGAUUAAAUUUGCAUGAUUUUUUUCGUGUUAUAUUAUCAUACAAUACAAGCAUAGAAUAAUUGGCUAAAGAGUCCCUUAAGUAUGGAAUAAUUUUUUCAAUUUUCAAACAAUUAAUUUAUGCAACGAAAAAAUAAAAUAUUUUCUUUCUUGCAUUGGAAACGUAGAUAAAUUUAAUUUAUAUAAUAUUUUUAAUUUGAAUUAUAAAAUUUUAUCUUUUUACAUUUAGUUUGGCUCAGGCACUGAAUAUAUUAAAUAAAAAAAUAUCUAUCAUAUUAGUGAUAAAAUAAUUAAAAUUUAGGUGUUUAAAUAACUGCAUACUUCAGAAAAAAAAACAAAAGGAAGACACCAUUGUUGGAGCUGUUGGUUAGGGCUUAGGCGUGUGCACAGAAGAUGGCUGUUAAUUUGAGAAGUACUUUUUAAUUUUAAGGUCACUCAAAUUGAAAAAAAGCAGCGACUUCAUUAUUCCUUUUUAUCCUUUGUUUGUUCCCAUAUAAGAAAGCUGAAAGCAGCCACCCACCACCACUGUCACUUUACUACAAAGGAAAUCAGUCCCCAUUGGAACAAAAUCAAGCCACUAGAUGCUUGCAUUGGAUGACACACACUCACACACAUCCGUUUGUCCUUCAACAUGGACCAACACUAAUUUCAUGGCGCGGCCACUCUUAAUUUCACCGUCUACUUUCUCUAAAUCAUAUUUCACUAAUAAUUGAUUGAAUUACUUAUACAUUAGAAUCACCCUUCUACUACUUGUGUAUAAUUGCCAUUGCUAAUGAAUGCUCCACUUUAGCGAAUAUGUUUUGGAUUGCUAUUGGAUAUAAAAUAAUAUAUUUUAAAUUUUUGUACUUUAAUAAAUUAUUUUUUUUAAACUAUUUUUUUAAAUAUAUGUUUUAAAAAAUAUCACACCGCUUUCUUAUUUGAAAACAUAAUUUUCUAAAAUCUAAAAAAUAAAAUAUUAUUUUCAUAAAAUAAAUUAAAGAAAAAUAGUUCCCAAUGGAAUCGCACUUGAGCUGUUUAAUUCCACUCCACUAGCCAAGAAAAAUGAAAAUACAAGGCAACCAAACAAAGCAAAACAAACAGAAAAUUGAGAGCAAAAAUUCCAUAUAUGUCUUAAAAGACACAAACACCCAAUUUGUCCCAUUACUCCCUCUGAGCCAUAUACAGGGCUAGUUUGGUAAUUACGGGGAAACACAAGUGUCGGUUACCUGGUUAAGCCCAAACCCCGGCUUUAAACAUUUUCCGGGAAAAAUAACCAUUUCUAGGAAACUAUAAUAUUCGGCGGGUACGGAAAAUAAACGGACACAGUCCCAAAAAGAGAGAGAGAAAAUAAUAAUAAAAAAAACGUAUUUUCAGUUUUACUAGAGUAGAAGAAAGAAGAGAAAAAAAAAAUAAUACGAAAAGAAUUUGCUUAAGAGAGAGGACUCGAGUCAGUGACCGUACAGUCUCGGAGAGAGAGAGCGGAAAGAAGGAAAGAAAGAAAAACUCCAUUACUGUUUUAAAGCUAAUCAUCAGAAAACGAGAGUAUCAAAAGCUCUCGUCUUCGCUUAUCACAGUGUUGUUGUCUCACUCGAUAGAGCUAAGCUAGCUCUUUGCCGAUCUUUCUAGAACAUUCUAUUUACAGUUUUCUUUUUCAUCUCCACUUGAUUAGUAUUCUUGAAAAGUGUACAGUAAGCCCCUUUCUCUCUCUCGCUCCCUCUAUCUUUCUCUUAAAUGGAUUUGUACGGUCGGAGCCAAGCUAGAAACGGGUUGCAAUCGGGUCAGCAACCCGAAUGGAGCUCCGGAGGUGCCGAAACGGGGCUAGAAGGUAUUGAUUUUUUCUUCACUUUAGCCUGCAUUUGUGGCUGCAACUCUGUUUUCUAUUUUUAUUUUGGUUUCUAGGGUUUUGGAAAUGUGAAAUGGGGGAUUAGGGUUUUAUGUUUGAUUUUAUUUAUUUAUUUAUUUAUUUUUAAAUUGGAGUAUUAGAAUCGAUGUGGCGAUUGGGGCUUAAUAAUAGCGGUGGCGGUGAAUCUUAUCCGGAGCGACCCGGAGUACCCGACUGUGUGUACUAUAUGAGAACUGGGUUCUGUGGAUAUGGUAACAGGUGUCGUUAUAACCACCCUCGUAAUCGCGCUGCGGUAAGUAAUUUCUCUUUUUUUUUUCUCAACCAUUUCUAAAUUUAAGUGUAUUGGCAUCAGUUACUGUAUUCCAUUCAAUUUACACACAGAUUGCUAUGUAAACUGUCCUUUGUAGUUGUGAUUAAUUUUCUCUUUUCAUGUAGUUGUAAUAGGUUUCUGGUUAACUUAGUAGAGUAUGCUUACGUCAAUGGAGGGAGUUUGUUUUAUUUCUGAUAAUUUGAGGGAAAGAUUUUAUGUCUGGUAAUUCGAGGGAGAAGAUAGCAGAAUUUUGGCAGUUUAUGCUUUAGAUUUUUCCACAUUAGGCCAGGUAGUUCAGUUUUGGACUCGGUUAAGUGGAGGUUUGUCUUAUUAUUCAUUCACUAAUCAUGCAAAAGUCUGUGAUGCAGAAAUUUUAGUUAUUUUGUUUGUAUUGCUUUAGUCAGUAACUGAAAUGAACAAAUGGUCUCUCGUAUUUUCUUUAUUGGAAUGUUACUUAGGUUGAGGCAGCUGUAAGAGCUACUGGGGAAUACCCAGAACGAAUUGGGGAACCCUCUUGUGAGGUAUAAUAUUAAAUUCACCAAUUUAGUUAUUCUGUGUAUUCAUUGUCAAUGCUCUGUUGCCACUUGUAUUACAUGCUCUUUUUAUUUUUUAUUUUUUUCUAUUUUUUUCUGUACAGUUUUAUUUGAAGACUGGAACCUGUAAAUUUGGUGCAUCUUGCAAGUUCCACCAUCCGAAACAUGGAGGUGGAUCCUUGAGCCAUGUUCCACUAAAUACACAUGGAUACCCAUUACGACCGGUUUGAUAUCUCAUAUUUCGUUUUUUCAUGCAAUACACGCACUUCACAUGCACAAAAAGAAUAGAUAAUAGGAUUUGUAUUUUAUACAUUAUCAAUUAAUUAAUCAGCUAAAUGGUGUGCCUUUUUCUUUUAUUUUUUCUUUAAAAAAAAAACAGGGUGAGAAUGAAUGCUCCUACUAUUUGAAAACGGGGCAGUGCAAAUUUGGUAUAACUUGUAAAUUCCAUCAUCCUCAACCAGCUGGCUCAUCAUUGCCAGAAUCUGCACCCCAGUUUUAUCAGCCGGUGCAGUCACCUUCAAUUCCUAUACCUGACCAAUAUGGGGGGGCAUCCGCCAGCUUGAGGGUGAGACCUCCACUGUUACCUGGUUCAUAUGUGCAAGGGGCUUAUGGUCCUGUGUUGUUUUCUCCUGGAGUGGUUCCUAUUCCAGGCUGGAGUCCUUAUUCGGUAACUUUGCAGCCUCAUUUCAUUUGAGUUGUUGCAAAAUAACAUGCAUAUCUUAUAAUGAAUUUGGCUUUUUUGGCUCAGGCACCUGUAAGUCCUGUUCUCUCUCCUAGUGCACAGCCUGCAGUUGGAGCAACUUCUCUAUAUGGUGUAACACAACUAUCUUCUUCGACACCUGCACUUGCAGGACCUUACCCCUCACCCUCUUCUGCUGCUGCUGCUGCUGCUGCCCCUUUAAGUGGUACCCAGAAGGAGCAAACUUUUCCAGAGAGACCUGGUGAACCUGAAUGCCAAUAUUACUUGAGAACUGGGGACUGUAAAUUUGGAUCAUCUUGUAGAUAUCAUCACCCUCGUGAUCGAGUUGUGCCAAGAACAAAUUGUGUCCUCAGCCCACUUGGUCUUCCUCUACGUCCAGUACGUGAAUUUUUGCAUUUUCUUCAUUCAUAUGAAUAUAAAUCACAAACUACCAACCCAAAGAGGACCCCAAAUGCAAAAGACUCAAAAUAAUACACUUCAAAACCUAGAAACCGCAAACCCCUCCCUGCAGGGUGGCAGUGGGGUCCUCUUCCUUACAAAACCAAAAGGUGCUCUGCAAAUUUUUCUAUCAUUGUUUAUCAUUGGUCGGGAUAAUGGUUUCUGAUGAUGCCUGCAAUACUUGGAAUUAUGCUCUGAGCACUUAGCAUUUAUGAUUUCACCUGUCUAUCCAUAUGUUCUUUUCUUUUUUUAAAUUAAAUAUUUUAUAUAGUAUAUUGAAUCCUCAUCAAUCCUUCUUUUCUCAGUUUUUCUGUUGAGUCAUUUUGUAUAAUAUGCAUAAGAACUGUUCGUUGUGAUCAAUUACUAAAGUAGACAAUAAAAGAAUUUAUGUACUAAUAAUGUCUGGUUGACAUUAUCAGGCCAGCAUGAGGUUUAACUAUUUGGCGGUCUAUCACUCUGCUCCCUCUCUGUUCAUGUCUCUUUUAGCACAUUAGGUUAGGGCUAUUUAAUUAUGCAAUUUUAGAUUCCACCUUAACAGAAUUCUAUAGUUCACCUGUUAGAUUCUUCCAAGGUUGCAGUAACUGGGCAUUCUUAUUUGCUCAUCACAUCAAACUUGAGAGUUCAAUUUGCAAAGUAGUUUUUAAGUUGGGAGGGUCUUUAUGGGGCCUUGAAAACUGUUUUGGGAAUGGACAUGGAAUUUUCUGUGUGAGUUGGGUAUCAGCUAGUGGCUGCAUAUAGCCGUUAUCGUGUUUUCAGAAUUUGGCUCUUAGAUUAGGCUGUAGUGAUAAGGUUUCUAGUGGUCUCAUAGAUUAAGGCCUUUUCCAAUGUUUCAAGGUUCUGGUGUUUGGCAGAGAUGAAAGUGGACAUACGGUUUCAGGACAGAUAGAACUAUAACUUUAGGAUCAAUGGUUAGUGAAAUUUCUUUUGCAACCUCUGUGUGUGCACCUUUCUACCCACUCCCUGUUUUGCUAAUGUAAGUACAAUAUGCACCAAGAUUUGAGUAAGGCUUAUCAGUUCCAUUUCUGGUAACUAGCAAGUGAGACAGCAUAGUGGGUUGGUGAUAGCUAACUGCUUCUGUUUGAACCAUGGCCUGCCGCUGGGUAUAUAUGACUUGCAUCUUGUACAAACACUUUUCUGUUUUGAGUAACUUGUUAUUGCUUUUUUUUUUUCUUUUAUGGUUAAUGAUAAUAUGCAGUGUGCAUUCAUAAUACUACCUCCUUUCAGACUCUUUUUAAAGUAUGACAUAUUUUUGUAACCAGGGAGCACAACAUUGUACAUUUUACUUGCGAAAUGGGCAUUGCAAGUUUGGGUCCACAUGCAAAUUUGAUCAUCCAAUGGAAACAAUGAGAUACAGUCCAUCAGCAUCUUCUCUUAUCGAUAUGCCGGUUGCUCCAUACCCAGUUGGGUCUUUACUGGCGACUCUGGCCCCUUCAUCCUCUUCCUCUGAAUUGAUUGGAGGCACCAAAAUAGAUCCUUAUUUGAGUAGAAUACCUUCAUCCGGAAACACAUCAAGCAGUGGAGUUGGAUUGAUGUUCUCCCAAACUGGGUCAGUUCCACUUUCUGAGUUGCAACUUCCAAGUCAGAAUCCUGUUCCUUUAACCAGUAGCCGAAGCACAAGACAAGGUGCCGAGGUUCGUCGUUCAAGCUGAUGCGAAAUCCUUAAGUCAUCAUUCACUGUCUAGCGCAUGUUAUGACCAGUACUCAUUUGCUGUCUGUUUAUAGAGCUCAGUUAAAUUUUAGUUUGUCUAGAAGUUUGCUUACUCAAAGUAAAGGUUUAUCAUGCAAUCUGGCUUAGGUCAUACUAGGAGCAAUCAUCUUUAAGCUCAUGUCUUCUCUCUACAGUCGUAUAUAUUAUCUCAAUAAGCUUAAUAGCAAUCACUAUAUGAACUUCUCUGCAAAACCUCCAAAUAAUUUCAGUUUAUCAGACCAGCCUACGAUCUUCUCUCGAACUUUGGAUCUUUUAUACCCGAUUCUGAUCAUUUUUGUGAUGGAAAGAAUUAGUCUAUCCCCUACUUAGUAGUCACCUCUCUUCAUCUCCCUUUAUCUCUCUCUCUCUCUCUCUCUCUAUCUCUCCCUCUGAAAACUCAGGACAAAUCCAGUUUUUUAACAUCUGAGCUUAUCUACUUGAUUUUAGAGGGCUUAGAAGCUCUUGAUUUUGCCCUCCUUUUUGAGGGCAUUUAUGAAGAAUGUUUUGAAGAUUGCAAGUAGGCAUGUCUCUCCCGCCAAGGUGUCAUCAGCAGUGAAGCUCUUCAUGUUUGAUUGAAAGGCAGAGAUGUCUUUUAAAUGUCAAUUAUAUCUAUUUCUUUUCUGCAUUUUUUUUGAAAGUUAUAUGAGACGGUUGUAACUUGACAAUUGUUUUCUUUAUUUUGGCAAGAGAUUGUUUCAGAUUCUAUGUGCAUUCUGAAUGCAGGUAACCUUGACUAAUUGUGCCUGUCCCAGUCGUAUUCUAUUCAGUUGUGGAAUCAAAAUCCUGAAUUUGUUGAUUUCGUCGAUCUGCUUUUGAUGCAUCUUAGUUUUGUAGCCAAAUUGGAUAUUGUCAUGCUAAGGAGCCUCUGGAUUGUAGGGACGCUAUUCAAGUCAGGACAUGUACCUUCCCAGUCAUUGUUCAUCACCUUACUGACGUUGUUUCGUUUAAUCCUGUAUCUCAAAGUUAGGCCUGAUGGUUAGUGUUUCCCUGUUAUGUUGACGUAGGCGGUUUGUAGGCCUCAUUGGCACGUACCAUUGUCCGAAAUUAAAAAUGAAAGAAGUUAUACAUUCAUUCGUGACAGGUGGAACAGCGACAUUAGAAUAGGCUUUAUUAUUAUUGAAGUCUAACAUGGUACAUUAGAAACAGUACGAGAGGCAGUAUCUGUUACAGUUAUGCUUCAUUUAGAGUAGAAUGACGAUGAUAAACUCGAAAAAUGUCUUUCAAUGUUAUGAUGCCUAUGCGACUCAAGAUAUAUUCAUUUUUCUUUAUUUAUUUGUAAAAACAAAAAUCAUGGGAAGCAAAAAGAUUUUACUCUAAGCUGAAAAGGAUAGUUCAAACAAAGAAAAGGUGGCUCAUUAUUUUCACUUAGCAAAGAUGGCAUUUUCUAUCCACAGGGAAGGAGAUGACCUUGACAGCUGACCUGUAUCUGUACUUGAUUUCGUUUUCAUUUUUUUUGUUUUGGUUAAAUAGCUAUUUCGAAGGUGUGUACAAGUACACUGCACCUGGCUGCUGUUUCGGAAAUGUAAUAUUUUUGACCCUACAGUUUUUGAGUUACUGGAAUAUAUUUUACAGUUCAAACACUUUAAAUGCACAAAUUAUCUUUUAAAAUUGUAUAUAUUUAACAUUUCAAAUUUCCAAAAGUAGAUAACAAUGUAGAAGCAGAUCCUAAUAGGAGAUGCAACCUUGUGGAAAGAAAGAUUGAAAAAAAAAAAAAAAAAAAAACCAAAUGGUUUUGGGUUCAGCCUGCACAGAAGAACAGUGACAACCACAACCAGACCCAUAUUCUCUCAGCACCAACCCACAAGAACUCCAAUCUCUUAUGGGAGUGACCCACGAAUAGAAGUUUCACCGAGUGAAUUCAAAAGGUGUUUUUCUUUUUCACCAGAGCUGGACCAUUUAAUAGAAAAGUAAAAAGUUCUUUUGUCAAAAAGAGAAAAAGAGGUAAAAUAAAUUCUCACCGUUGACGUUGACCCAUAAUUGACAGGAAAAAGAUAUAGUUAAAAGCAUCGUAAUUUAUGGACUCUUAGCAACUGAAGAAAAACAAACAACAUUAUUUUCUCCAAUUCAUCUCCGUUAACCUUUAAACUGCACUGCCCCUACUCAAAGGUUUCUGACGGGACGUAAUUUGCAACGGGGUAAACUGCAGCCCAUUGCAAAAGAGGCCUAAGAUGAGAAAAUGAAACAGCCUGAUACUGGAUUAAGGAUCUUCUCAAUUAUAGGCAAAAGGCCCAAUUGGAGCUCUGACCCCAGAAAUCCCUCUUUAUCUCCUUAUCCUCUUUCCCUUACCAAAAGAGAAAAACAAAAAAGAUUGGUAGUGGGCUAGUAAUUAUUGAUCAAGGAGCAAUUUAUGGUCUAUUUAUAGCCAUUGAUAGGACAAUAAUUGUCUUAAUUCUAAUUAGAACCCGCACGGUCAUUGAAAUUAGUCCUUAUGACUGAAAGGGUAGAUUUUAAGAUGCAACACAAAGGAGCAGAAGAAGUAAAAUGCUAUAAUGUCUGUUUGUAGAACUUAAUUAAAAUGGUGGGCUCACAUGUUCUUUGUACACCAUAAUUGUAGCCACAACUUUUGCUCACCUGCACUAAUGAUUCAAAAGAGUCCUUUUCCCCCCUCCCCCCUUUCGGCUUUGGCUUUUACUUGCUCCAAAUUUCAUGCUUUAAUUAAAAAAAAUAAAAUUGUAAUUCAUAUAAAAAGGUAAACCACAAAUGACAUUUCUCUCCUAGGUUUGAACAUAUUAUCGAUUUUAUUCCUAAUGUUUCAUAAUUAAACACUCACGUCCUUGAUUUCAUAUUGUAUUUUUAUUUUGAACAAUUAUGAUUUUAUAGAGAGGAGGAAGAGGUGGGUCUUUGAACUCGAGACUCAUUCGACUGUAUUAAUUAUUAUCUAUUUUCGCUAGAUUUAAUGAUUAUUUUUCUUUUUUAAAUAAGAAGGAUAGAGCAAUUAGUAUGAUAGAGGAAAGAUGCAAUUUUCUCAAGAUUAAAAGGAAAAAUGAAGCUUUCAAUUUUGAUGCUCCAGGGACUUUGAUACCUUCUAGAUGUUUAUAAAACUUUUUAAUUUGAAAAAAAAAAAGAACACUUGGAUUAAAUUGGCAUAGUAAGAUUGCCAAUGGGUGAUCAUGAGGAAACCAAGGCAAGCCAAUUUCUAUGCUCUUGGUCCACCUUAGCAUAUAAUAUAUUAUCUUAUGCAAAAGGGUGAGGAAGCUGAAAUAACUACUCAAAUGUGUUCCUAUGCACUGCCACCUUUCUUGAGGCAAGUCUCAUAAUCAAUUCUUCAAGUGGCAAUCUCAUUAUUUGUUCUAAGAAAGAAAGAAAAGAUAAAGAGUAAAUCUCAUAUUCGGAAAAUAGAGAAUUUACAAGAGAAAAAUAUCUUAAAACAAGGCCACAUUUAGGAUAUUUUUGCUUUUUUCAAAACCCAACUGACAGCUCUUGGUGACAGGUAGAAGAUGAAGUAUUAAGCAUGCUAAACUUUAAGGAAUAUUUUAAACAUCGGAUCAAUGCAUGGCCAGAAAACAUGGGAAUUUGCUGUUUUGUCAUUUCCAUGUCUAAUUUAAUCCCGAAAUUUAGGUGAUAUACUUGUUCUUGGGUUCGACAAAAAAGUGCAAUUUUCAAUGAAAAAAAUCGUGUCAUUUUGGCUCAAAGCAUGAAAUUUAAUACUAAUAAUAGUAGAGUGCUAAACCAAGAAAAGGAAGCCAUGCCUUUUCAUUGGCUACAUGCAGAUACAAAUUAAGAAUCAAGAACAGAGAAAUAAAAGGAAAAGCAAGUGAUCAAAUCAUACCAAGUACUAGAUUAGCCAACUGUUCUGUACAUAGAUACAUCAUUAGUCAUAAACUAACCUACCAGUCAUCCAUGCUGAUGCCGCAGAAAAGCAAGAUUUGAUGGGUUCAUCAUUACCGCCUGAUCGUGCAAUCCUGAGUUAUGAUUAAUCCAACAGUCAUCUUUCCAAUACCAAACCUGCUAAUUAUGACUGGUACUAUACCAUGUUUGGUUGAAGUGACAUGUAUUUGUGCACACAAUUGAGUAUUUUCUAAUACUUAAGUUCUCUAAUUUAGCUGUUAUUCUUCCGUAUUUUGCCUCAAAAUCUAAUCAGUUCACAUGCUUCUUAUUCUACUCAUUCCUAAUACUUAUGCUUGUUGAUGCUUGUUAAAAUCUUAAAAAAUUAAAUCAAGAUUCUUAGAGUACUGGGUGCCAGUAAUUGUUUAUCAACCAGGCCAUUAGGGAGUGAUCCAUUCUCAUUUGUAAAAACUGAGAAAGUUUUAUAAUGUAGCUGCUGUACCUCUAAUGAAUAAAAGGAAAUUUAAUUUCUUCCAAAAGCUUAGAUUGGAUUAAAGAAAAAAAAGCAUUACAUUAAUCUCUUGUAUAAAGCAAGCUUAAGUUGAGGUACUGUGGCUCUCAUCAUAACAUGUAAUCCAACUCAUCCUCCUAAUUUAAACUUUCGCAAUGCUUUACACAUAAUACAGACUUAAAUUAAGCUAAUCUUUAUUGUAGGUAUCUUUCAGUAGCCAUGAUUACAUCUCCCAAAAGCACUGCAACCUUCAGGAAUCCUGCAAAUUUAAUUUCUCAAAAUCCAAACCUUGUUAAAAAUAAAUAAAUAAACAAGUGAAUAAAAAUAAAGGCAAACUUCUCAUCUCUCACUACCUUUCACCGAAAAGUGGAAGCACACCAACAUAGUCUUGACUUUAGAUUAAGGGCACAUUAUAAACACUCAUUAAAGUAUAUUUCAAAAUCCAUAUCACUACUUCUUAAUCUUUGCAUGGGUUCAUGUGACUUUCACUCCACUCUUUCUACCUUUCUCUUUUUCCACCAUAGAGAAAGAGUGACAUGUGUCCUGAACAAAUCUUUGUUUUAGCAUAUGAAUAAUAAAAUCUUUGUUUUUGGGUUGUACCUGACAAAGAGAGAUAGUUUGUUAAAAACAGUUAGAUUCUUUCAAAGAGAGAGACAUUUGUUAGUGGGGAUGCUGUGGUAGUGCUGCAGGCCUUUCAGUAGAGAAAUCUAAGGCUGAUUUUGCCAUUUUCUUCCUUUUUGUUCAUUUAGAAGAGAUGGGUGUCGUUACUGUUGCCGAGUUGAAGCCAAGUAUAUCAGGGAAGAGAUCGUUUCGUCCAAGUUCCAGCAUAAGGCAUGCUACUGAAUGGUAAUCUUCAUUCCUCUUAGCUUCUUGUCUCACUACAAUGCACAUAUAUGUAGCCCAAGAAUGGAAAAUUAUUAUGGAAUUAAUAGAUGCGGAGUCGUGAAUGCUGCAGUUACAGUAUUCUUUUUUAAUGGAUGGGGAUGCACUCUUUCUCCCUUUGCUGGGAAAAUGUUUUUGAUGUUGGAUUCUUGGGAAUAAAGAGAUCAAUUAAUCCAGGAUCUUUCAAGUAAUUUCGGAAAAAAAAAAAAAAAACAGAAAAGAAAAGGGUAAUGCAGAGUCCAAUAGUUUUUGAAUCCAUAUUCUGGUGGAUUUGACAAUUUUCUAGAGAAAUGGAGCUUUUGUCAACAUAAGUUAAAGUGAUACAUUUUCUUUUCGUUCUUUGUAUUUAUUUUUAUGGCAAAGUGAAUUUCUUGAAACAGAUAGAAACUUGGAUCAUGGUUUAUUACCUAAUUUAGUAUUUUCAACUUGAUUUUUGCUGGUCUUUUAUGAUACCAGUCUAACAAUUUUGCAAAUUUUUGGAUUUGAUUUGUCAAAAGAAGAAUCUGAUACAAGUUAAAAAAACAAAAUAAAAGGAGGAAAGCCCAAAAAAAGAAGUCUUUGUUGAGACGAAUUUAUUAAGCUUUCCUUAAAGUUCCCAACAGUCGGCCAUUCUUGGUAGGACCAAGAAAUUUUAUGGGCUUCUCAAUAUCUGAUCAUCCUCAAUUAAUAUGAAGAAAACUAUACUUCACCAUAUCAUUUCAAAGAGCAUGCAUAGGCCAUAGAGUAUGACAGGUUGCAAAUUUUCCACUUGAAGGGAAACUGCAUUAGGCUUAUUUUAUGCAUUAUCAACUACUAUUAAUGUCUUGCCUCUCAAACCAUUUGACUGUUUUUACUGUUUUUAUAGGCCCUUUUAUAUGUUCAGAAGAAUUCGUGCAAUAGUUCAUUUGAUCACACAAACAAUCACAACCACUUAUUAUCCAUCUUAUGGUUGGCAAUUGAGCUUGUGCGCACAUAAUCAUUUCUGAUCUAAUAUAUCUGUAUGACUCGGUAAAAAUUUUCCAAAUUGUUUCCGGUUGCAAAAGCGAGUCUGCAGUAUUUUGCAGUUAGGGAGUAACACAGCCUUGUUGUAAACUGUACUGCUUGGCCACAGCCACUCAUUCUGUAAUAAUUGAGUUGUCAUUUAUCCAAUCUGGGCCAUCUAUGUCUGAUUCAGAAUACCAAGAAGAUCACAUUGCCCAUGGGUGGUUUAUUGAUGAUUGAUGGUAGAACAGCCCUUUUUAAGCUAUUGGAAGGUCUCUCUUUCUAUGGAUAGAUAGAAAGUACCCCUUUGAAUGAACCUGUUAAUUGGAAAGUCAUGGUUACAAAAAAGGGAGUUCAGGUCUAUAGCAGUAGAACUUCUUAUAUGGUCUCUAAAUUAUUGGCACUAACAAACAUGUACGCGAUGCAUCAUUUAUUUCCCUUUUCUUUUGAAUUUUCCUGUCUCUCUCUUUGAAGUCCUACUUCAAUCAUUCUACCAUCUUGCAGGCCAAUUUCUGAUGUUUCCAGUGAUCUUACAGUAGAAAUUGGAGCAUCAAGCUUUGCACUUCAUAAGGUAAGGAACAUAUAUUUAGUUCAUUAGUUUGGUACUAUAACACCAUUGGAACAGCUUUCCCUUCACCUUGUUCUUCAGAGUUUUGUGCAAGUUUAUGUGAAGAAGAAAACGAGGGCAGAGCUUUAUAUAUGGUUCAAAUUAUUUUUGCAGUUCCCCCUCGUUUCUCGAAGCGGAAGGAUUCGAAAAUUGUUGUUGGAAGCUAAGGAUUCAAAAGUUUCGCGCAUCAGUAUAGCUUGUGUUCCUGGAGGAGCAGAAGCCUUUGAGCUUGCGGCAAAAUUCUGCUAUGGUGUAAAUGUUGAGAUUACACUAUCAAAUGUUGCUAUGAUAUUGUGUGCAGCCCAUUUCCUGGAAAUGACAGAAGAUUUUGCGGAGAAAAACCUGGAAGCUAGAGCUGAAGCUUAUCUAAAGGAGAUGGUGCUACCAAAUAUAUCCAGUUCGAUAUCUGUCCUUCAUCGAUGCGAAACUCUCUUGCCUAUGUCAGAAGAGAUCAACCUGGUUAACAGGCUUAUAAAUGGAAUUGCUAGCAAUGCAUGCAAAGAACAACUUACCUCUGGCUUGCUAAAACUUGACCACAACUUCCCAUCAAAGGAGACAAACAUGGAACCAGAAACACCUUCAGAUUGGUGGGGCAAAUCGCUCGCAGUCCUGAAUCUUGAUUUCUUCCAAAGGGUUUUAUCAACAGUAAAAUCGAAGGGUCUGAAACAGGAUAUGAUCAGCAAGAUUUUGAUAAAUUAUGCCCAUAACUCUCUUCAAGGCCUUGUAGUGAGAGACCCUCAUUUGCUUAAAGGAAGUCUCUUAGACUUGGAAUUGCAAAAGAAACAAAGGGUAAUUGUUGAAGCAAUAGUCAGCUUACUACCAACCCAAUCAAGAAAAAGUCCAGUCCCAAUGGCUUUUCUUUCAAGUUUGUUGAAAACUGCAAUAGCAGCAUCAGCAACGACAUCUUGCAGAUCCGAUUUGGAAAGGAGAAUUGGUCUUCAACUAGAUCAAGCAAUUCUUGAAGAUAUCCUAAUUCCAGCAAAUUCACAUGGUAAUAGCCACAGUACUCUGUAUGAUACAGAUUCGAUCUUGAGGAUCUUCUCUAUGUUUCUCAACUUAGAUGAGGAUGACGACGAAGACAAUCACUUGCGUGAUGAAAGUGAAAUGAUUUAUGAUUUCGACAGUCCUGGAUCUCCUAAGCAGAGCUCAAUUCUUAAAGUAUCAAAGUUGCUAGACAAUUAUCUUGCAGAAGUUGCACUAGACUCAAACUUGAUGCCAUCAAAGUUCAUAUCACUAGCAGAAUUACUUCCUGACCAUGCUCGCCUAGUCAGUGAUGGACUGUAUAGGGCUGUCGAUAUCUUCCUCAAAGUUAGUAACUUUUUAACCUCUCGUGAUCUCUUCCAAUUUCAGGAUCUUCCAAACUGAAUUCCGAUUCUUCCAUGUUCAUAUUUCUUACAGGUUCAUCCAAACAUUAAAGAUUCAGAAAGAUACAGACUUUGCAAGACAAUAGACUGUCAGAAAUUAUCUCAAGAGGCCUGCAGCCACGCAGCUCAAAAUGAAAGAUUACCAGUGCAAAUGGCAGUUCAAGUGCUAUAUUUCGAGCAAAUCAGGCUCAGGAAUGCAAUGAAUGGAGGGCAUAAUCAGUUCUUUUUUGGUGCAAUGAAUGGUCAAUUCCCUCAACGUUCAGGCAGUGGUGCAGGAAGCGGAGCAAUCUCUCCGAGAGACAACUAUGCAUCUGUCCGAAGAGAGAAUCGAGAAUUGAAACUCGAAGUUGCAAGAAUGAGAAUGAGACUGACCGAUCUUGAAAAAGAUCACGUGUCCAUGAAACAAGAACUUGUAAGGACUCAUCCUGCAAAUAAGUUGUUCAAAUCAUUCACUAGAAAAUUAAGCAAGCUAAAUUCCUUAUUCAGAAUUAAUGGUCUUAAGCCUAUAGGAGGAGGAAAGGCUAAUUCAGAAUCAAGAUUCUUGUUUCAGAAAAGAAGGCGUCACUCGGUUUCUUGACUACUGUAAAUGUCUACAAGUUUCUUUUUUUUUCUUUUUAAAAAAAAAGGGGUGUAUAGUACAUUAGCAGUACUUACUUGGUAAGUGUAGUGUGAUAUGGUCUAAUGUCAGAUUUGGUGGUUUGGGAAUUUGGAGUGUUGGUUUUGAGUUGCCAUUGUUUAGUGAGAAUAUUGCUCCCUUAACCUCUCUGUUUUUUCCCAUGGACGCCUGGAAAUUUUUUUACAAUACUAUAGAAGCUUUUAACAAUGUUGGAACAAUUUUAACUUGAGAAAUGAAAGUUAAGAAACUUAAUAUGAAUAAUUGUUGUACGAUGUAGUUUUGGCAGAAUUCAAUUAAGAAUGCGAGUGUAUGGAAGAUAGUGGGCAAUAGGCAUGCGCAAUCACUAGGACAAAACGUCACCAAUUGUGUGCUUCCCUCUUCAUUACUUCUUGAUGAAUGAUGAUUGCACAUACUAAAAGAUAUCAGUCCCAAUAUACAAGACAAAAGUAUAUAAAGUAAUUGAAGAAAGUUUGUCGGUGAAUCCUAAAGCCACUCCGGGAUUGAGAUCCUCUUAUGUCCGUAUUCAACACAUUGAACAUCAGCUGUCGUGUUAUGUUAUUUUCAUUUUUAUAUUAUAUAUUAAAUUCAAUUAUUUAUUACUUAUCAACAAGGACUCCAUGGCCCAAUGGAUAAGGCGCUGGUCUACGGAACCAGAGAUUCUGGGUUCGAUCCCCAGUGGAGUCGAUUUUCUUUUUUGGUUAAAUAUUUCUAGACGUCGCGUUUAUUGACUAAUCAGUUGCAUUACUGACUGUGACUGCACGUAAAUGCACACACGACAUCGUUUUCUCUCAAAAAUUUAAGCCACAAAAUAAAAAAAUAAAAAAGGUCACAUUCAAUUCAACCGUUUCCCAGUGAAAAACCCCAACUUCCUUCCCUCACUUUCGUCAUCGUGGUGAGUCUUGUAUCUCGACGGCGUCCCAUCGGCGAUAGCUUAAAAGAGAGAUGAGAAUAUCUUUUUCAGCUCUCGGCAACUCGUUGCCGUUUUCAAGAAUCUUCAGGUACAUUUUCUUUUGGGUCUUUUGCCGAUUAGGGUUUUUAAUCUUCUCUAGACAAUACAGAAGACGAGAUUUGAAAUCUUUAAGUUAAUAGCGAAUUGAAUCGAGAAGUUAACUAGUGAUUUAUUGAAUUAAUUGUAUUGUAAUUGCAAUAGGCAGGUUGAACAAGAAAUCGAAACAGUGGUAAAUGUACUGCAGCCAGGACCAUUGGGUAUAGUAGAACACAAAUUCUCUGCAGAGGAGAUACGUGACGCUAAUGCUACGGUUCAGAGAGCAGUCAUUACUUGGCGAAGAAAUGCUAAUCUUGAGCAUCAGAAUGAUAUUCUUAAAGAUUUUAUUCACAAGUAGAAACACUUAUUUUGCUCACAAAAAAGAAAAAGAAAAAAAAGAAACACUUUGCUGCACAUUUAUACAUCAAAUCAGUUUUGCAGACUUUGACAUAGAUUGUCUAAUUUGGUUUCUUUUAUUACUAUUAUUAUUCGUUCGUUAAUGAAUUUUUAAUAAUAAUGUCACAAAUGAUGCAUUUUCUUUUUUCAUUCAGUUUUAUCCUUUUUCUUCCCAUGAUGAUUGAAACAUGAUACUUGCUUGUUAGUGGAGUAAUUUCUGCUGAUAGAGUGCAAGCCCAAGGUUUGUGGUGAGGUUCCGUGGGCUGGUUAAUGAUGGAUCGGUGUAAUCAUUCCCAUACUAAAUGGGAUUUUCUGAAUUUGUAAGUUACUCGAAACUCGGUUCAAGCUUACUUGAGCUCGUUCAGCAAAGCUUGUUUAAUAAAUGAGUCAAUCUCAAGUUUAACAAAACUCAGACUGGUUAGGCUCGGAUCCUCCUUAUUUACAGGCUACGUAAUUUAACUCUUUAAUUAGUAUUUUAAUAAUUUAAAAUUAAAAUAUAAAAUUUAUUUGUCUUUACUUAUAUUAACAAAAACUCCGACUCGGUUCUGCUUGAUUAUUCCCUUAUUUAGAGAUAUCACAGCCCUGAUUUUAACAUGUUGCUGUUGCUGCCUAUUUCAUUAUCUUUGCAGUUUCUUUAAGCUCGCAAGUUUCUGCUUUUCCUGUAUCUUACGUGCAAUAAUAUCUUGCUAUAUACUUAUCAUCAACAGUUGCUAUUUCCAAAUUCCGAUAUAGUUCAUGCGAUUUUGUUUGUUUUCAGGAUAUGAUUAUUCUAUUUGUUUCAUACACAAGAAUUUUUGGUCGCAAACUUAUUGUCAAGUCUGUGCAUGAACUUUACUGAACGGAUCAUUUAUCAGCUUAAGCAAACAUUCAUUUACAUUGAUAAACAAACAUGAAUUAGAAAAUUCUUCUGAUAUUCACGAAUAUCCUGCCUUGUUUGCAAUCUUAUUGUCUGUAAAUCUGUAUGGUUGGUUACCUGACAAGGAAGAUUGACUGCUAUAUGUGUGUUUCUCGCCAAAUACUUGUAUUAAUGGAUGAAAUUUCAACGAGUUGCUACAAGCAUGAAAAAGAAGAUGGGUGAACAUGCAUCACAGCUGGCUAAUCCUUCUGUUUGGGUGCACAACAGAUAAAUUCUCCAAAUAUUAUCAUUUCAGGGGAGAUUAGAAGAUGAGAAUCCAAGAGAAUGCUACUCAUCUGGCCCAGAAAAGACAACAUUUUGCUUAAAACUAAGGAUCAAAUAAUUCCCUGGACUAUGCACCUAUUUUAGGUGAAUUGUUUUCUUCUUUGCCUGUUCACGUGGUUAAUUGCUGUUUUUGUGCUUCAUGUGAGCAUUUUGAAGCAAAAUGUGAGCAACACGUGUUCAAAUGAUGUGAUUGCUAUUAUGCAUAUGGCCCCUAGCCAAGCAUUUUCUUUUUCUAUUUUCUCCAAAGAAUGAAGAAUCUGGAGUGUGAGUUUUGCUUUUAGCUUAAGAAGCAGUUGAUGAAAUCUUCAUCAGGUGUUUUUCUGCAGUGUUUCAUAAACAUUGAAUUUGCAUCUCACUAGGGUAGGUCAUUGCGUGAGACUUCCGUGGUUUGUCUUCCCCAGUAAUAUAUGUAAGCUGUUAAGCACUUAUUUCUGGGUGUCUUCGUCCUGUCUAGAAAUUUUGUGUAGUGCUCUUUUCUGUAACGUACUCAUGAACUCUUAGUUAAUGAUAGACAGGUAAUUCAGGGAUUAGACUUUUUAUGAUGCUUAUUUUACAUUAAUUCAUGACCAGAUCGCUAGACACUUCUGAAACUGCAAAACUUGGAGGACAUCAUGAUAUGAUUAGAAAACUUAUACAAACAGACUGAUCUACGAUGAAAGGAAUUAGCAGUUGCAGGUGCCAAGGAACUAAAGGAUAUCGACUCUAUUAUUUAAGCAUGUAAAUCAUCAAAGCAUGUUAUGGCAAUGAAGAAUGGAAGACGUGUUCACAACGUUGUCUUUUUCCAAAUAGAAAAUCCUCUCUUCACUCUCCUUGUAGCACUUUCGUUUUGUUUGGUAGACCCAUUCUUUCCAGCCCCUGUUAUUCUCAGGGUACAUUGCAAAUAUGCUCUCUCUGUUAUACACGUACACACUCGAAAAUGUUUGAUCAUCAGAAUGUAGGCCAGAAGUAUCAAUAAUAUAUCUUUAUUAGUUGGAUAGUACAACUGGAAGUUAAAGUACAAGCUCUUGAUUUCAGUAAACAGAAAAGAGUAUGCUCCUGCCAAGCCUAAAAAAAAACACAAGUGAAUAAACUUUAAGCUGGGCUGGAUGUCAACAGCCAUACCUAUUAUCAUUUUAUACCACUAACAGGGAAAAGGACGUGCCAAAAAAGAAAACAAGAAAAAGAAAACUUAUUAAAGCUUUGUUUAGCUCCAGCAGAGGUAUGCUAUUUCCGGAAAGAAAAUACUUAACCCUAAAUCCAAAUAGCCCCUGCAUCAAUAAGCAAUGGGAUGAGCUGGUUCUGGACAUGCAGACUCAUCACCUGCUUUUCACCACCAACCAACUUUUGCCCUAUAAACACAGAUGGUACACUUGGUUGGCACCCCAACUGCAUCAGCGUCCUUUCAAUUUGCUGUCCGUUUGGGAUUCUGUCGAGCUCAUAAACUGUUGGAUUUGCUCCAAAUCCACAUAUCAGCGACUUGAUGGUAUGACUCAUGCAGCAGGAACUCUUGCUGAAUAUCACUACAGGCUUCUCCUUAACCAACCUAUUCACCAUUUCCAUUGCUAAGAAGAUUGUAGGAAUUGGCAAUGUGGGUAUUAUGAAACUUGUUGAGAAAGUUUACUUAAGAGGCUUGUUUUCUUCUGUGAGGAAAUAGAACAUAUAUGGUGGUCUAUUUAUACAGGCAAAAAUUGACAGGGUAGAUUUUUGAGAAUAGAAUAUCAAGGGUGAAAGAAUAAACUGUUCUGACAGACGUGUCAUCAGAUACCCUCAUCACCUUUUAUGAUUAAAUGAUAAAGACUUGCCUAUCCGCAAUUUUUAUUUUAUUAACAAGUUUCAGAUAUAAAGGUUAUUAGAUUAACCUGUAAAUUAUGUCAAUCAUCGGAAGGAACAAUAUAACCCCAAAGUACUCUUUUGCAGAUAACAGAAGGUUAACCGACCAUCCUGUAAUAGAAACUAGAUGCUUUCUCUAGUUUUCCUAUCUCAUUUGCUGUAACAUUAUGUUUUUGGCACAUCAGAAAUUCUUUAAAGGGAAAACAGCUUAUCGGUUUAAACCCUUUUUUAUGUUCUUAUAUUACUGUUGGAGAGUAUAAAACUAUUACUAAUAUUCUAAGCUUUUGAAUGAAAUGGUUAUAAUUAAAGGAUUUACAGUGUGCUUCCUAAUUGUCCCAUCUUACUGAUUAAGAUUUCAGCUUUAAGCUUUAUAGACAUUAAAAUAUAAAAAGUAUUAAGACUAUUGGCCACAUAAUAACUUAAGCUUUAGAUAAAACAGUUAUUUAACCAUCACCAGAAGAGGCAAACAGUUGACUGUUGAGUUGAUAACUUAAUGCUUAUAUGCGUAAAUGAAUUCUUCAAACUAAGCAAAUAGGAUUUUCCUUUUCCUUUAAGUUAAAUGAUCUUUUUCUGUGUCUCAACAUCAGAGAACCCCUGCUUCUAUCUAUUUUUAAGCAUCUACUGAGGUGGAGAAAGAAUAGGGUUUAUCCAAUUGGUUAGCACUUUCUUCCCCAUGGCAAGAUUCCCUUAAGCUGCUGAAUUCAAGAAGGCGGAAAGCUCAAAUAAAUGAAGACAUUUUCAUGAAAGAAUUGAAAUUAUGUCUUUUCAAAAAGGCAAUCUGGCCUUAGUAGGAGGUAAGAUCACAAAAAUCCACUUAAAGGCCGUACAAGAAGGAGAAAAAGAUAGAUAUUUAGAUUCCUUGAACCCCACAGCAUUUAUCUAUUUAUAGACAUUGCACAGUACAUCUAUAGUGCUGAUCAAGAUAUAAAAUUGCUCGUAUUUUAAAUUAUUAUAAUUAUCACUAUUAUCAUGUUAAUCUUGAAGGAUAAAAGAAAAGAAGGUGUAUUAUUUUAUAUGUAGACAUCCAAUGGUGGGUUAGUGAGUGGCUAAUAUGAAUUGCCCAAAAGGGCAUGCAAAAAGACUAGAAUCCCUUAACUUAUUAAUUGGGAGAGAAUCUCUUCUUUGAUUCUUGCAACAAAGAUCUUUCAUUGCACAUAAAGAAAGCUCAAAUUACUUUUUAGUCAAUGGUAAGUGUUUGAAACAUAGGUAAUUAUGACUUUUAACUUUCAAGUAAUUAGCUAGAAAGUUAGUGGACGUGAUUUUAACCAUUAGUUCCAUGAGAAUGAAAUAGCAACCAUCCUUUUUUUUUAUGCUGAAAUGAUGAAUCCUCGUAAGCAUACUACAAAAGGAGACCAAGAUUUGGAGUAUGUUUAAAGCAUUAAGAAAAAAGGAAUGGCAGUCCACACCUCUCUGCAAUAUACUAUUUUCUUCAACAUCUUUAUUUGCCAAUUCUUAUAAUAUGGACUCCGGUCCAUGUAGCUUUAUGAAUUCAGUGUUCAUGGAGUGCCAUUUUGAUUCAUUUGAAGUUGUUAUCACACGUCUGAAGUUUUAAUUAUUUGCCCUGCAAUUGAAACUUUAAUUCUUCAAUUUUUUAUUUCUAUAACAGAAAUCUUCCAUCUAACUCAUUUAUUUCUUCUUCUCGCUUUCUUCUUGAUUCGUCCUUCUUGUUUUCUUCUUUUUUCCUCAUUCAUUGCAAUCAUCUUUUUCUUUUGUACAAGUUUUUGUUUGCAAAUUUUUUUUCCUGCUGCAAUUGUUCAUUAAUGCUUGAAAACGUAUUUAUAUUUUUUUCAUUGUUGGAUUGAAGAAGCUUUUGGAGAAUGGAGAACAAUUUACAAAUGAGUAAUGUACAAAUAAUAUCAAUAGAUAAAUCACCAGUUGAAAGUAUUAAUUCAUAUAAAAAGUCAGGUAAAAUUAUUUUAUUGUUUGACAGUUUUUUUAAAGAUGAAUGUUCUUUAUGUGCUACAUAAAUGCUCAUUAUUUCGAGUUACAAUGUUCAUUAUUUUUGUUUGCAGUUGACUGUGGACCUAAUUCUUCUGGUGAUGAAUUAUUGAAAAUGUCUGUGAAGUCUGCUGAUGAAGCUUAUUAUUUAUAUAAUGAUUAUGCACUUAAAAUUGGUUUUGGUAUGGGAAAGAGUAAGCAAAUGUAUAGAGCAGAUGACAAAUUAUUAACAAAGAAAAAAUUUAUUUGUUCAAAGGCUGGUAUAAAAAAAAAAGGUAGACAAGAAAAAUAAACGUUUCUCAGAACUUGAUAUUUGUACUGGUUCUUAAGCUCUUAUAGAGUUCUAUGUUGAUAAAGAAGGAGUUUGGACUAUAAGCAAACACCGAAAAUAGCAUAAUCAUGACCUAUAAAUGUUUCUCAGAACUUGAUAUUUGUACUGGUUCUUAAGCUCUUAUAGAGUUCUAUGUUGAUAAAGAAGGAGUUUGGACUAUAAGCAAACACCGAAAAUAGCAUAAUCAUGACCUAUGUCCACAUAGUAAAAUCCACCUUAUUCUUUCUCAUAGAAAAUUACAAAAACCAGUUUGAUUAUCUUAAUGAUUUAAAAAGAAGUGGAGUUGGAGUGGCUGAUGGGACUAGAUUGUUGAAAAACUAAUAAGGAGAAUCACCAUUGGUUGGAUUUACAGCAAGGAAUACUUAUAAUCAUUUGGCGUUGCAAAAUAUGAACAAAUUGGAUAAUAGUGAUUUGAAUGCUCUCAUUGAAAUUUUCAGAAAAGAACAAUCCAAUGAAAAUGAACUUCUUUUUUUAAUUUUGAGGUUGAUAGUAAAGCAAGAUUAUGCAGCUUUUUUUGGAGAGAUGGGCAAAUGAAACAAGAUUAUGAGUUGUUUGGAGAUCUGUUAUUCCAUGAUACUACAUAUCAUACUAACAAAUAUGAUAUGAUUUGUGGUCCUUUUGUAGGUAUUAACCAGCAUUACUUAAUUAAUUUUAUUUCACAUUAUAUUCAUUCUAGCAUCUUAUAAUGUUUAUUAUGAUCCGAUCUAUGGGCCCAUAUGACUGACGCUAGGGAAUGGUAGGCUUAAAAGCCUAACUAAUCAAUAAUUCAGAUAAACGGAUAUAUAUAUAUAUAUAUAUAUAUAUAUAUAUAUAUAUAUAUACCAAUAAUUCAUUCACAUAAUCACAACUCAAUUAAAUUAAUCCAUCAGCUUGAGUGCUUAAAAUUUUCUAUAGUUUAACUGACCAAAAUGAAUGUUAAAGUUCUGGAACCACUACUGCGGACAGUCUAGAUUUUUAAAUAGUUCAAAAAGUAAAAGAAAGAAAAUUAAUUACAAUAGGCCUGAAGGAGGAAGGAAGUUGGACUGUUUGGAAAAAGACGGCGGAGGAUCUAGCUGUCAUUUGAAAAAUCAAAAUUGAGACUGUCAGUUUCAAGAGUGAGUUAAAAUUGCAUAAUCCAAGUAAAUACAACAAUCUUGGUGAAAUAUUUGUUUUAUUAAAAUAAAUCAUAUUAUUAUAUUAAAACAUGUGUCAUGUCAUAUUUCAAAAAAAUAUCAUUUAGCAUGUACGAGACAAGUACCUCAACAAAAUCCUGGACUCCAAUACUAUUAGCCAAUUUGCUCUCUUAUUCCAAUAAGAGUGGCGCCCAGAGAGCGAAGCUCAACCAGGGUCCUUAAAUCCAGUUUGGACACUUAAUUUCCAAUUUAUCCGGCACCUAAAGAGUAAUGUUGGACCAGAGACCUUUCCUUCGGCAACCAAAUUUCCACAGCCCAAAGAGUUAUACUCGACCAGGACACAUCACAAAAAUAUUUCCUUAUUACCUGUCUCUGAUUUAUACUGGUGCACACGUGGUACCGAUACAACCUAUCAGGUGGCAUGUUCUAUUGCCGCCUCAUUCUGAGUCAUAAUACAAUCAUAACAUUAAUAAUAUGAAAAAUUGUAUAGAUCGCAGGAAUUCUUAAUAUUAUUCAAUAAAUUAUUAAGUAUUUAAAUUAAAUAGCAUCGAAUAUAUGGAUCGCUAUAAUAAUAAUAAUGAGAUUUAUGAUGGUAAAAUAAUAAUUAAAUAAAUGAUAAAUAAAUAAAUCAAGAAAUAAUUAAUUAAUUAAUUAAAUAUAUAAUAAAUAAUAAAAAAUUUAGACAAUAUCCAUAAUAACAAAAAAUAGUUAAUAAUGAUAAUAAUACUAAUAAUAUUCGUAAUAAUUAUUAACAAAAAAUGUUGCAUUAAAAUUUGGCAUGGCACAUAUGCAAACAUUAUAUAACUUUAACUCAUAGUUCUGACGACCCCUUGCUCUGCUUCUAUGCCUCAGGUGGAGCUGACUGAAUCGACGGGUUAUCUAUUCACGGAAAUAAUACAAUCAAUAAAAAUAAAAUAUUUAGUAAACAACCCUAAGCCUAGACUCCUAGAAUUGACUGCUUAAAGAAAUUCCGACUGAUUCGACUUAGAAAUUCUACCAAAAAUUUGGCAGAAUCUUUCAUAAAAUAUAGACUGUUAACCCCCGUAAAACGGGUCCAAAUCCUGCUAAAAAACACUUCAAAUAUUCAUUACAUAAUUAUUAGGAAUCGAGUCACCCAUAACUGCAUUAUUUUUCCGACUCUACAAUACAACACAGAUCUCAAUUAAUAAUAGACAGUCCAAUAUUAGCAUUUAUUUCACAACUAGUUCACAAAUAAUUCUUGGUAUCUAAUUUAAUUAUUCGCAACCAUAAUGAUCGCAAAACCAAAUAAUAACUAAUCAUACUAAUUAAUUCAUAAUAUUUAUAAUUAAAUUAUUAAUUAAUUAAAUCUAAUUAAAUUAUUUAUAAUUGAUAAUUAAUAGUAAUAAGAUUUCUUAAAAUUCUAAAAUAAUUUUUAAGAUCCAAAUAAAAUUUAGUGCACGUCUAAAAAAACACCGGAGUCCAAAAGCCGGUACAAAAAACGGUGUCAGAGUUCGAAUCUGAAGGUGCCUACGUGAAGCUUGAGUUGUGAGGAGUCUGAAUAUACAAUUGUUUCUAUUGAAAUCUCGCCGGAAGCCACCGGAUCGAGGCCAGAAAGUUUUGGCUCCGGUGAAGCUCAUACACCAGGAGAGGAAGGAGAACCUAAUUCAUCUCUUAAAAUUCCUCAUAAAGGCCAUAACCAACUUCUUUAGUUAUGUACCCGCCUUUCUCUAUUUUGAGUAAUCCCUCAUACUCGUCAAGUAAAGCCUCACUUUGAUCACUUAUCUGCAUCUCGUGCAAUCAACAUGCUUUGGUUGAGAAAGACCCCUCAAAAUAAUGCUCCUAACCAAAUGGCGUUCCCUCAUUAAUAGGAUCCGACUCGGAAUCCCCCCUUUGCAUGACCUAGAAAGAAAAAAAGUCCGUUGGGGGGAGAAAAACAGGAAAGAAGGGUUGCCUUGGUUUUUUGGAGUCUAGGACCCCGUUUCCAGCAUCAGAUUGAUGAAGGGAUGUCAGGAGGAGGUCGAACCGGUGGUGGCAGCGGGGAGACGUCUUCUCCUCCCUGCUGCAGCGGAAUCUAGUGAGAGUGAAGGGAAGUGAGCGGCGCCGGCUAAAAAGGAAGAAGGAUAGAGGCGUUUAUCGGUGGCUGGUGGUAAGGGACGACAAAAAUGAGGAUGAGGAUGGGGCUGUGUGGCGGGGAAGGAAGGAGGAAGGAGAGGAAAAAAGAGAGAGAGAGAGAGAGAGAGAGAGUGAGAGGCCUCAAUGCAUAUUCUUUCCUUCUUCUUCUUUUUUUUUUUUUUAAAAAUUUCGCUCUAGUCCCCCGUCUUAAUUGAGCUACAAAAACACCCCCACUUAAAAUACAUUACAUUUAUAUGAUAAUUAGUCACAACAAUUUAACUUAAUAAAAUUACACUUAUUUAUUUAAAUUCACAAAUCAAUAUUAUAUAAUUAUUUGAAAAUGUUAAAUUAAAUAGUACUCGUUUAUUCAUGAGAAAUAUUAAUUUAUCAAACUGCCCCCGAAAACUAAUGCAAUUAAAAUUUUAAAAAAAUUUACGGGUGUUAAAAUGUUCAUGACUAAUAUCUCUAAUAUUCAUAUGUUUAGUAUAUCUUAUAGAUAUUUAAUGUUCAUUUUGAUUCUUUUAAUCAUCAUGAACAUUUAAUAUUAUUAUAGUAAAAUAUUUGAUUUUAUUUUUUUGUAGGUAUGAAUCAUCAUUAUAUGAAUAUUAUGUUUGGAUGCGAUUUUCUUAUUGAAUGAGAGAAUUAAGUACUUCGUUUAUCUUUUCAACGCCUUUUUAAGAUUUACAGAAGGAAAACAUCCAUAAACAAUAAUGACAUACCAAUUUUCUGCCAUGGCUGCUGCAAUUGCUGAAGUAUUUCCUAACUCAUGCCAUAUACUUUGCAUAUGGUAUAUAAGAGAGAAUUCAAAGAAAAAUAUUAAAUCCGUAAGAAGUGAGAAAUAGUUUGUAGAUUUGUUCAACUUUUUAUUGAAAUAUAUUGGUACAAUGGCUGAGUUUGAGUUUUAUUGGACCAAACACAUAAUUUUGUUUGAUUUUAAUUUAUAUGCACUAAAAUGUUCAUUGCAAAUGUAUAUAAUGUUCAUUUAAUUAAAUAUCAUAUAUUAAUUAUUUUUUUGCCUUAAAUAUUUAUUAUUUGUGAAAUUAAUAUUCAUUUGGAUUAAUAUUCAUGCUAAUUUUUUUUCAUGAGUGUUUAUCUUAAUGCUCAUUAUCUAGUAUUGAAAUAUACAUUGUUUUUAUCUAAAAUGUUCAUUAAUAUUUUUUGCAUGUAAAUUGAUUACAGAAUUCCGUUGUCACAAUAUCUCUUGGAUAGAAAAGCUACAAGUCCAGAGAUAAAUAGUGCCCUGCUUUUAGUAAAAACUAUUUUUGAGGUGGUGUUUUAUCAUCCCAAAAGAGUGAGACAAUAAAUAAUUUUGUGUCUAGAAGACUUUUUAGGAUUGCCGAUCUUUGUGACUUUUAUAAUUCAUUUGUUGAUAUAAUCUCAGAAUGGAGAAAUAAAGAGAAUGGAGAAGAUUUACAUUGCAUAGUAGAUCAACCAGCUAUAGUAAUGAAUCAUGUGAAGCUUAUUUCAUAUGCUAGGGAGAUAUACAAAAUAGAAAGUUAUUUUUUAUUUGAAGAGCGAUUUAUAAAAGGGGCUGCAUAUCAUCAAUAAUGUAUGAUGUUAAAUGGUAGUAAUAUUAAAUAUCAUGUUUGGCGGCCAGAUGUGGAUGCGAUUGGACAUAAGGUUGAUUUCAAUCAACAUGAUUUGAAUAAAUAUUGCACUUGCAAGAUGAUUUCAGAGGUGGAAAUUAUUUGUUGCCAUUGUUUGCGUAUAUUAAAUGUUCAUUAUAUUGAAGUUAUCUGAGAUAAAUAUAUAAUUAGGAGAUAGAGGAAAGAAGUUAUUGAAAGUAGAGAUAGAGAUAAUAUUAUGACUUUAUGCUCGUUAAAUGAAUCUAGUGUAGCUGCUCCACUUUGGAUAAUUCAAAUGGCUAGAAAAUUUUAAAGAUUCAUUUCAAUUAGUGAACAUAAUAUUAAAGCUCGAGAACAAUGUGAGUUAGCUUUUGAUAAUGCAAAAAGUAACAUUGCGAGUGAGAUUUGUUUUAUUUUUUUGAAAGAUUGUGAUGAAAGUUCAGUUGAGAAAAUUCAAAUUCUUUCUGUUCGUAGAGUAAAAGGUCAAGAGUGCUAUAGAGAAAAAAUAUAAUCAAGCAAAAUGGCGUAGAAAAAAAAUGCUCAAAUGGUUGUAUUGCAAACAAAAAUGAUAGUUCAUAAUGUAAUUUAGAUACCUUAUUUGUUGAAUUUUUUUUAAUAUAUUAUAUAUUAUAUUUAUUGUAAGCUCAUAUUUUGAUAUUUUUUAGAAAAUUGUUCACGUAAUAAUUGGAGAGGGAUAUCUUGCACAUCCAAGUUUUAGCUGCUCGGAAUUGGUAAAUGUUAUACCAAAUUCGAAUUCAAGAAGUUACACUUCAAUUGUUCAUUCAUUGAAUUUUAAUACUUCAAAUGGUUGGUAAGAAUUGAUUUUUUUUUUUGUAAUUUUAUUUACUUUUUUAUGUGAUUUUUAAUAUAAUGAGAAUAGUUUGUGUACAUUUAAUAUUUUAUUUUAUAUUGUAAGAAUUAUUAUUAUGUUAUAGCUUUAAUAUUUUAACCAUAUGUUUUUAUGAAUAUUUAAUAGUAUCACAAUGAACAUUUAUUUAGAGAGAAAUGAGCAGAAAAUUUUAAUCUAAAUCUUAUGAGUAGGAACGUUAUAAAUAUUUUUUUGUAUGGUGAUGAACAUGUUAAGAUACUAGAAUGAACAUUAGUGGUUUGUUCAAUACUUAAUUAAAGAUUAUUCAUCAAAACAUCUUAUUCAUGUUUAUUAUUAUGAGCAUUCGAUUAUCAAGGGAAAAAAUAUUAAGAAAUAUAAAAAAUAAUAUUAUAAGAAAUAUUUGUCCAUUGACAAAAAAAAUUAAAACUUUAUAGAAAAUGAAAUAUGUUCCUAAAUAGUUAAAAUUUACUAAAAAAUUAAAUAUGUCCAUUGUUAUGCUUCAUUUCUCUUCUAUUCAAAUGAACUUUUUCUUUGCUUCUUUUAACACUUCAUUCUUGUAGAUGUUUAAAUUUGAUUUGGUGGAAUAAUAUUUUACUCUAAGCACUUUCAAUUCAUUAAACUAUAAAUAACACAUUAUUAAUGAAAAAAAUAUUAACAUCUGUAAUAGUUGUAGUAAUUAUAAGAAUUAAUUUUCACAUUGUAAUUUUGAAAUGUUGUAUGCUAAAAAUAUAAAAACCAGUAUAUGUUAUGGACAUUUUAAUUAUAAGCUAUGAACAUCUUGAUUAUAAGUUUUGAUUAAAUAAUGAAUAUUACGAGUAUCUUUCAGCAAUAUCUAUACUUUUUAGAGUAUGAAAUUUUCUUUAUGGCUCUUGUUGUUUAUAUGUUGCAUUUUAUUUAUGAUGAAGUUGAAGCAAAUAAGAAAGUAAUGAUUUUCACGGAGAACAACAAAGAAUAUCUAUAAAAUUAAGUAUAUGUAAGUAAAUGAUCUAUAAUAAAUUAAACUAUAAUUUUUUGAUAGGAAUUUAUCCAAUUACUUACAAGUUCUGGAUCUCUCAAGAUAUUUUCUGGUAAAUAGCUCAGUUCUAAAUCAAUUGUUUCAUUGAAAUUUUUUUGAUGUUUAUCUCUUGUCAAGUCUUUGAGCAUGUAUUCUGUUAGAUUUUCCAAUUGUAGCUGAGAAAAUUAAAAUAUAAUAGUUCAGUAAAUGAACAUUGUUAAUUAAUGAAUAUUAGUGUUAUUGACGUACUCACAUAUGGUUGUGUGAAAAAGACUAGUCUUCUAGGUGUGUUUUGAGUGCUUUUCUCAACCAUGUUUAUUCUUACACUCCAUAUAUCCAAAAUGUUUACUAAGAUUUGUUCAUCUCCACACAAGCUCCUUAAAUCUUGACGAAAACCUAGCCAUUUUUGAAAUUUGAACAUAUAUUCACUAUAUAUAUAAAAUAAUUAGUUAGAUGAUGUGAUAUGCUCUGUAUAUAAUUUAAGAAAUUAAAAUACUUAAAUAUUAAUCUUACUUUUGAUCAGUCUCCAUAAAUGUAUAUUAUGAUAUUAAGCUCUUCCUUGCUGUGACAUCUCUCAAUUUCUGAUUGUAUCUCAGCCAAAAAGGAGACCUCAACUUGAAUGGAAGGCGCUUAUGUUUCCUUACUGGUCUCAUUCUUUUGUUUACAUCCUCAAUUUUUGAUUAUGACUCUUCCUUUAUUUUAGAUUUUAUAUAAAAAUGAACAUCAAUAAAAAAACUUGAAAAUAUUUUACACAAGUUAAUGAACAUUUUAUUAAACAAUGAUGAAUAUUAAGUGUAAAGUUAAUAAACAUUUAAUAUUUAUAUAUUGAACAUUCAUGAUAGAUGGACAUUACAAAAAUGAUUAAUGAACAUUCAUGACAGAGUAAAUGAAUAUUACAAAAAUGAUUAAUGAACAAAUUUCUAAAAGUUAAUGACCAUACUUAUCCAAUGUUUCUCUAUCUGGAACAUCAGAAAAUGCUGCAUUAUUGAACAUUUCAACCUCUUUUUCAUUCGGUUGAUACUUUCCACUCUCUUCAUCUGGCAAUCUCUAAUGAAAAUGUAGGUUCGUCAGCAACUUUUGUCUGUUUUAGAAUUACAUUUUUAAGCUUGACUACUGCUUCAAGAAAUUUUGGAUCACUAAAGAAAUCAUCAUCUUGAUCUUAAUUUCUUGAACCAGUUGGUUUUUCUUUCUGUGAGCUUGUUAAGUUGUUAUACAAUUUUAAAACAGAAUAUCAUUUUCCACCCUUCCUGCUUCUACCAUAGCUUCUCCAUACUCUACUACUGUACCUGCCAUUUUCUUCAAUGCAGUAGCAACUUUGUCCACAGAGUUCUAUGGAUAAAGUUUCUAUUAAUGAAUACUAAUUCUAUAACAAAUGAACACUAUUAUAUCUAAGUAAUGAACAUUUAUCUUUCUAACAUUAUCUGUAGUUUCUGUUGAUUCUUGAACAAUGUUAUCAUCAGCAGGAAUAUUAUCUUCCGUCUUUUUAUUUCUGAAAUUUUUUUAAGGCUCUUACAACUUUUACUUUUCCAAAAGAGUCUUCUUCCAUUUCCUUUUUCACUCUUUUUAAAAUAGCUUUUUUUUAUCCUAAUUCAACAGUAUUGGGAAUUUUCGAUUAACAUCUCUUCCUCUGAAUUUUACUCUAUCUAGGUAAGAUAACUUUUUAUUGAAAAAAUAAUACAGAGAAAAUACAUUAUAAUACUAAUGAAUAUUUAACUUAUUUAUAAUGAACAUUAAGCAGAUAUGAUAUAAAUAUUUUUCUGAUAAAUAAAUGAACAUGAAAGACAGUGUGUAUGCACAUUUCAGAAUAUGUUAAUGAACAUUGGUGGAGGUAUUAAUGAACAUUCAAAUAUUAUAAAUAUAAAUAUCAUCACAACACACAACAAAAGAUAAGCUAAUGAACAAUAUCAUUAUACUAUUGAACAUUUUAAUUUUUGAGAAUGAAUAAUAUUAAAAAAAUUAAUCUUUACUAGUAAGAAAGUGAUAGGUCCACAAAAGAAAGAUGUUGGGUUCUUCUUCCAAUCUUCUAUAGAAUGCACCAGGCUGUUGGUCGUAUAAUGAGACUAAUUCAUUUAUUUUAUUUUUUGUACUUCAAUGAGAGAGUAUAAGAUCUCGAAGUUGCAUUGACUGUUCUGAAACCCCUUUAUCAUAGAAGAGACAAUGAUUACAACGAAGUCUCAUUUGAAUUCAUCUCCAUAAUCUCCUCUGUUUGUCAUUUCUUUUGGCAAUUUACUUGUGACAGGACCUCCGGUUGUCACAUUCCAUCUUAAUUUCUAAUUUUAUAGUAAUUCAUUGUAACUUUCACUUUUUACUGUUUUGCUUGCUUCAAGAACUGUUAUAUUUUCAUAAGAAAGAUUUAUUGUAGACACAACAUCUUCUUCUAUCAUUGCAAGCUCACCUCUUUACAAUUUUAUUGCGUAUCUGCAAUGGUUGAAAUUUUCGAUGAGAAGUUUAGUUAAUUUCCCAUCACAUUCUGAUAGUUUCAUGUCCAGCAGACUUCCAAACCCAAUUUAUUAUACAACCUUCUUUUUUUUUAUGGACAGUUUCUCAAUCAAUUUUAUCAAACCUACUGCUGACAUUCUUGUAAUAAAAUCUAGUUUGGUAUACUUUUUUUCCUUCUUUUUUUCUUUUCACCAACAGAAGCACCAUCCAUGCUUCUAUUUUCAUUUGAAAAGUUACUCUCUUGUUGUUCAUAUUGUUCUUCUCUUUAAGGAGUUGUAGGAUUACGUUUACUCAUAUAUUUUGAAAGCGAUCCAUUCUAUGUAGCACUAGUUUCAAUUGGAGCAGCUUUCUUUUGCUUUUUUGCACAUGAUGUAUUCUCUUCUUCUCUAGCUUUCCUUUUCUUUGGUUUAGGAGUAUGCUUUGUUUGUAUUUCCUUUGUCAUAUGAUCUAAAUUAAAAUAAAAAUCUUGAUGCUAAAUUGUAAUCAUUUAGAAUAAAAAUCAAAUAGGAAUGUGUCCAUUCAAUGUAUAAUAAUCAUUAUGCUAUAAUAUAAUGUUCAUUAUGUAUAAUAUUAAUGUUCGUUUUAUAUUUUGCAGUACGAUGAAUGUUUAUUGCAUAAAUAUAUAAUGUUCAUACAACAAUAACAAUAAUGUUCACUUAAAAUCCAUAAAAUGUUCAAAGAAAUUAAUACAAACUUGUCCAUUUCAGGAGAUAAUAACCCAACAUCUUGAAUAAUUACAUUCAUAUAUAAAUGACAUUAGUAAUUCAGUAAUGUUCAUACUAAAUAACAGUAAUAUUCAUUAUAAAUGCAUAAAAUGCUUAAAGAAAAUAAUACAAAUUUAUCUACAAAUAUAAUCUUCCCUAAUCAUUUUUAGAUUCAUCCUCAAAGACCCUAAUUCAAAGUUUCAUCUUUAUAAUCCCCCAUCUCAUUUCUGGAGAUGAUAACCCAAACAACAUGAAUGAAUAUAGUAAAAUGAUCAUAAUCAUUAGUUUUUUUAAAUCAUAUAAUAAAAAUCCAAACAACAUAUUCAAAUGAACAUUAGUGAUUCAUGAGAUAUAUUUUUCAUUGCAACACAAAUCCUUAAAAAUAUGAAACUUACCUCUUAUCUGUUACUAAAUAAUUAUAAUAGACUUCUGUAAGUGUUGAAUUUUGAUGAACAUAAUAAUUCUUGAUUUGAUAGAGGAUUAUAUAGUGUUAUAUGAGUUAAAAAUUUGAAUCAACUGUCAUUAGUGGAGAGAAAAGUGGGCUUAUGCACCGAUGAAAUAGGGAGUGAUGUUUGAGAAGAUCACAGUUUCUGUUACAAAGAUAUAUUCAUUUAUUUAUUUUUUAAAAUUUAAAGUUAAAUCUUUGGGUUUUUAGAUGGUGAAAAGUCAUUGAUAUAUGACACAUGGGAUAUGCUGGUUUUUUUUGCUAAAAAGUGUGGAACUUUCUGUUUAUAAACUUUAUGUUUCAAAACGCAACAAGAUGGUGCGUUUUUCAAUUUAAUGAAACGUGUGUUUCAUUACUUCUUCCCACACGUGUUUAUGAGUCCUGCCAUAAAGCUACAUGGACCGGGGUCCAGAUUAUAAUUUGUGUUUAUUUAUGGACAUGGCUGGAAAACGUAGGUGAAUCACUGCUGAAUUAAUGUAUGUAACGAUUUUUUCUCACAUCAAUAUUGAUUUAGAAUUGAGAUUUCUGACACGAUUAAUUCAUUUUGCUAUUUCAGAAUGUGAGUGGUUAUUUAUUUACUAUAUAAUAACAUUAUUUUAAAUUUAGUGGUUGAGAUUGUAUAAAAAUAUAUUAUAUUAAAUGUUAAAAUUUAUCAUUUACGAGGGUUACAAGAGCUUUCUGCGAGGUAAAAGCUCUUAGUCUUAUACGCACAAAUAGGAACAAACAGUAAUUGAAAAAACAAGAGAGAGGCAACUUGUACUAUUAGUUGCGUUUUAUCUUUUUGGAGUUGGUAUAUGCAAAGCUCUUAUACCAUCGGACUUCUGCUUAAUUUUAAAAGUUCAUUGUAUCUUAAGAUGAAAUUCAGAUAUUACAAUUAUGGACCCAUUGUUCUAUCAUAUAUAUAUUCUAAAAUUCGGAGAAAUUGAUAGCAAUAUUCUUGAGAAUUUGAGCAAAUUUGUAAUCAUGAAAUUAUUCAACCAUGUUAGAUUUUAUAUGGUAAAAUUCCUCUAUGCAUUAGAAUAAGAUGUUAUAUGGCAGGCAAAGAUAUUCAAAUUGUGUUGUGGGUGCCACAUAUUGCAAUGUAGUAGAUAUAUAUCGCCCAUGGCCGAAAGUAUACAGAGAAAGAGGACCAGCUUGCAAUAACUGGCUUGAGGUAAAGCGAAAGGCCAGUUUCUCUCUAACUAGACCUAUUCAGUGCACCUAAAAACAUAAGUUUUUUCGACCAACUACAACAUUCAUUCUUAGAUAGCGAUUUGUCGAUCCUGUGAAUCUUUUCCUUUUUAUUUGUCGAAUUUUACACAUCACGAUAAUGAUGUUUAAUCUUAUCCUUCUCACAUGUAUCUACCGCAGCAUGAACAGAGACACAUAUAGUGGUUUAAAUUCAUAUAGCUAACAGCUAGCGUUUUUUUUUUUUUCUUUUUUUUUUUUUUUGUAAAGUUUUCUUCAGAAUUUGAGUUCUGAAUUGGAAUCCCCUUCUUCUUUUGGGGUUCAGGACCACUAACGGAUCGAUGUUUCUUGAUGCGAGCUAAGUAAUGUGGCAUAGGGAAAACUUAUAGAUGCUGUCAUGUAAAGAGAAAAUAAAGUUGGCAGGAACGCCAGGAGCACUUUCACAAGCUCAGUAUCAGCAUAUUUUCGAGGAAAUAUGCUGAUCUUGUGGUGCACAGAGCGUAUAUAUACACAAUUUCUUUAGAUACGUACCCUAGUUCCAUGGUCAUUUUGCCACGUUUCUUGCUAUCAAGAUGUGCAUCCGGAAGAUUUCUAGAAUGGCUAAUGCAUUGUGAUAAACUAAUACUUGUGCAUCAGAGACAGACAAAGACAAGAAUCAUGCAUGGCAUGGGAGACAUGAAAGAUUUAUACAUUUGCUGAUUGAACCUGAAAUGCUAAUUAUAUGAGAAUGUCAACUUAUGGCGGAAAUCGCAUAUCAGGAAAUUAACAUGGAAUAUGGAUACAUGUAUGAAUACAAUACGAGGUCGGUUCCUGGCAUCACAUAUAUGGAUGAGAUUUACUUUGGCGAGUGAAACUCUUGUCCUACUAUAGGAUCUAUGCGUCCAACUUGUUAUGAUCUAAUGGAACCAACCAAUAGUAAAGAUUCCUGGAAGUUCUUUUUUAUUUCAUUUAAAUCAAAGUUCAAAAGUGGUUUCCCCAUGGAUUUUAUUCACACGUUGAUUGACACAUUCUUCGGAGGAGUCUAAUAUUGUAUUAUAGGUGUCAAUGUAUUAUUUAUACUUCUAUCAUCAGUUUCCUUUUAAAAAAUAUAAGGCCUUAAUAAAUAAAUAAAUAAUACAUAGAAGAAUAAAGUUUGAGAUUCGAAAAAAGAAAAUCAUUUUAUUCUACUUUAAUUUGCAUCGCAAUUGGUGGUAUGGAACAAAUUUAAUUAAUUGCCAUAUAUCAGAUGCUAAAUAGUUGUCUUUUUUGGCUUGUGAGAAAUAGAUUAUUUAGUAAAAGAAAGAAUUGGUUAGCCACAUUACAUAAUUUGGGGGCAGAAUGUUGAUUACUCAUAAGAUUUAGAGGGCAAAAUGCAGUAACUUAAUUUCUAAUCCGUUAAUAAUCACUGUUGUUGGAGGAUGAAACACAACCCCAUAAUAACUUUGAGAAACACAAAAUAACCAUAGAAAGCAUCCCCAUAAUCUUGUUUUCUUUUUCAGUGUGCCUAAAUAAAUAAUAUAUGGGAAGAAGGUCAAUUGAAGGAGAAGUGAGAGAAAUGUACGUCAGUGAGAGAACUGUUGAAAUGUAAUGUCAUUUCAAGUACAAAAUAUAGGAUACGAACUCACAGGAAAUCAUCACUAUACUUUUCUUUCUUUCUUUUUUUGAAAAAAUAUAUAUAUUCUCAUCGAAGAUAAAAUAUUAUUCUCCAAAUCUUGUGCUGAGAUUGCUCACAAUCGUUAUCAAGAUAAAUUUCAGUGUCAUAAAAUUCGUCAGGUGGAUAGAAGCAUCUUUGUCUUCUUUUGUUGUUUCAUCAUGUGGAUUACUAUUUCUUGCUUCUGGUUUAAGAAAUGGGGUAGGGUUAUGCAACUAGUACCUCAUACAAUAUGCACCCAAUACAAUUUCCCUCUUCUAAGGCAAUCUUAAAAUCAAAUUAAUAAUCCGCAUAAAUUACAAAAGAAAAAUCUUAUGGUCUUCCUUUUUUUAUAAUUUUUACUAUUUAGUUUCUUUUAAAUAAAGAGAGAUACGUGGUUAUAAAUUAUGAUAAAAAUAAAAAUAUCUUAUCAUUAAAAAAUUUCAAUUCGUAAGAAUUUACUAUCUUUAUUCUGUUCAGUCGCUAUUAUUAUAUUAUCUAUAUCUGAUAAUGUGAGUAUAAAGCUUAAUAACUCCUAAAUUCGUUGUUUGGUUGUUAAAUCGCGAUUUAAGAAGUUAGUGAUCUAAUGAUAUCAAUUUAACAAUCAAAUAAUAAAACUAAAGGUCAUUAAGCUCUAAACUCAUAUUAUUAAACACUAACAAUAAAUGAUAGUUGACUGAAAUAAAAAUAGCUAAAUUUUCGAAUCGAGAUACUUUAAUAGCGUAGUAUCUUUUUUGUCAUAAUUUGUAGGGAUAAGUACAUAAAAGUACUUGUUGGUUUCAUCAUUUUACAACUUUUAGUAUAUGGUUCUUUUAGACAAAAAGAGGCAUGUGGUUAUAAAUCGUGACAAAAAAAUAUAUUUCACCGUCAAAAAGUCUCGAUUUGCAAGGAUUCAACCACAUUUACAUCGACCGACAUCAUCAUCAUAUUGUCUGUAUUUGAUAUCGUGAGUUUGAAGCAUAAUAACUCAUAAUUUCAAUAUUUGACUAAUAAAUCAUGAUUUAUGAANNNNNNNNNNNNNNNNNNNNNNNNNNNNNNNNNNNNNNNNNNNNNNNNNNNNNNNNNNNNNNNNNNNNNNNNNNNNNNNNNNNNNNNUAGCUAUUUUUAUUUCGGUCAACCAUCAUUUGAAAAUUGUAAACUGAUGAAACCACAAGAUACUUUUAUGUACUUAUCUCUAAUUUGUAACUAUCUACUCUUUUAAUUGGAUAUAUAUAUAUAUAUAUAUAUAUAUAGUGUGCAGGAUCCUCAAACGAGGCAAGUACAGAGCAUACACUUGUUAAAUCUCAAUGAGAAAUGGAAAAUAAGAUAAUAAAAUAAGAAUUUGUUAUUGAUAGAUGAAGAAAUAUACAAACUUUGAAAUAAAAGCUUUAAAAUGAAAGCUUUAAACAAAAGAAAUAUAACUUACAAGAGUAAUUGAAUACAAGAGGAAGAUGGUUUCUCACUAUCACUCUCACACUCUCUUUUCUCAUUAUAUUUCUAAUGGUAUGACUUGAAAAAUACAAGAGUUUCUUGUUAUUUUUCAGUUUGCCUUCUUCUUUGGUAGCUCCUCUAUUUAUAGAGGUCUUCAGUCUUCAAGCUCAAUAAUUGUUACUUUGGAUGCUCUUCAUAAUAGAGUGAAGGACUCCACGUCUUUUGGAUGCUUUUGAUAAUGGAGUGAGGGGCUCCACGUCUUUUACAGAAGUUGCCUGCCACGCUUCAACAAUGAGGAAUCUUUUACUUUAAAAAGUAACAGUGCAAAGUCUUUUGUCUUCUUUCUUUUCUUUUAAAAAGACUUUUUUGUGUGUAUAUUGGGCAUUUGGCCCAUUGCAGAAUUGUUUUAGGCUGCCAAUUCUGGUUUUCAACCAAGAGCUUUACAAAGAUGUCAUUUGAUGGGUUUAAAUAUCUCAAAACAGUCAUCUUCAUUCGAGUCACCAUCUAGGUCGAUUGCUGCUGAGCUGGUGCUGGAAGAAGAAGAUGAAGCUUUAGAUUUUUCUUUGAAAAGGCGGUUUCUGACAACUGUUUGAUCAAUUGUAAGAAAUCUUCUUCUGUUUGAGUCGCCGCUAGCUUUGGAAUAAUGAAAGACCUAUGUGCCAGGAAAGUGGUAUGUUUUUUCGGAGGUGGCAAGAAGCAAUUUUUUGAAAGAAAACUUUGUACCAUCUUUAGAGAUAAUUUUUCUUGGUAGUUGAAUUUAUCCCACCAUUUAACUUUGAAUCUUCGGGCAAGGAUGGUUUCUCCAUCUGCUACUUGGUUGAAAUGGAAAUACCAUACACAUACCCAUGGGAGAAAGAAGUUUGAACAAAAUAGAAGUAAAGGAGGAAAACGUCUUUCUAUUUUGUUGGGUUUGUAUUGAGCUUUGAAUAGAUUAAACAAAGGUAGAACUUCUAGAAUUAUGGUCUCUGGAAUAUUGCCAUAAAAAUUCCACAAUUGUUUAAACCAAUAUAGGAUUUUUAAAAUUUGGAUUGUGUUUGUGUCGAAGUAAAAAAGCCAAGAAUGGCUUUGUCCUUCGUUUUGUAAAAGAAAGGUAUUAAACCAAGCUUGCUCGUAAUCCCAAUAGUUAAAAGAAGUAUUUAGAUUUGAAGGGUAGGUACUUUGGAGGGAGGUUGGAAAAGAUCUUGGUGAAUGUAAAUCCAUUCCCCAAUCUGAAGGGUGAAGGAUUCUUUGGAUGGUGCAUGUGGAAUAUGCUGAGUCUUUGUGGUCCUUAUGCUUUUUGAAGUGUUUGAAUUUUGCAGAACGAGUUACCUCAAGGAUAAACUGGUAGUAAAAUUGGGAUUUUGAUUUAUUCCAGGAUUUAAAGUACCAUCGUGGAGGAAAAAAUUUUGAAACAAGCUUUGAGGGGCUUUCUGUACAGAAUCCUUCCUCAAUAGUUAAAAUACUUUGAAAGUUUUGCUUUUCUACAUAUUCAUUGAUUUUGAAAAGUUUUGUUUGUGACAAAACUAUUUUUUGUGAGUUAGACUUUAAAAUAUUUUGAGAGCUCUGAGAUAGAUUUUGAGAGAAAAUUGAUAUCUCAGGUUUUGAAAAAGGGAUAGAGAGUAUACCUUUACCUUUGUUUGAAGAGGAGGAUGACUUUGGAGAAAUUUUUAGUUGGACUUCAGUCCUUGGUACUUGCUUUGAAUAUUCUUCGACCAUCUUUAAAAAUUCGAGAGUUUGUUGUGCAAGCCACUCCUGAAUAUGGAAUUGCUUUCGGGUCGGGUCUUCUUCUUCUAUUUCUCCUGGAUGAUCUCAGUCCAGGUUCUGAUAGGCUUUGAAGAGGAGGGUAUAAUCUCCUUUUUCGGGCUUUGAACAGCUUUUGUAUUUGCUGUUGGCUUUUCGUCUUUGUCUUUUACUCUCGAUUUUCUUGGCAUUGUCACUCAUGUUUUUUAAGGAACUUUCUGGUUAGAAAGUCUGGAAUUGAAUUCGAAUCUCCUAUUAUGUAUUCGAUUUCAAAAUAAAAAACGGAAAGAAUGGCUUGCCAUCUGGCAAAAAUCUGUUUUGAAGCUAUAUUUUGAACAUCUUUUGGUAACACUUCUUUCACGGAUUCACAAUCAUCCUUAGAAGAAAUUUUUGAUUUAAAAGAUCACUUUGGAAUUUUGAAAUACAUAAAAUUAUCGAAAGAAUUUCUUUUUUGAUAGUUGAAUAAUUUUUUUGUGUAUCAUUUCAGUGUGCAGAAGUAAAUUGGACAAUACAUUCUUUGUUGUUUUGAACCUGUUUGAGAAUUCCACCAUAACCUAAAUUUGAUUCAUCAGUUUCAAUAAUUUUGAAUGUAGAUGGAUCAGCUAGGUGUAAACAUGAAAUUUCAGAAACUUACUUUUUAAUGCUUUGGAUAAUCUUUGUAUGCUUAUUAGUCCAUGUAGGGGGAUUUUUCUUUAAUCUAUCAUGGAGGGGUUUUGCUAAACAGUUCAAAUUUGGAUAUAAAUCCAUGACAUAGUUUAAACUGCCAAGGAAUCUUUGCAAUUGAGUUUUUUCCAAAAUUUUAUCUGAAAAUUUUGAAGUAAAAGCUAGAGACUUUUCAAUUGGGGUGAUAGUUCCCCGGGAGAUGUAAUGUCCAAGAAAUCUAAUUUUCGUUUGGAAUAAAGAUAUCUUGGACUUUUAAACUACUGGACCAUUUUUCUUAACAACAUAGAAAAAUGUCUCCAAAUGUUUGAAAUGCUGCUCUAGAGAAUUUGAAAAUAUUAACACAUCAUCAAUAUAGACAAUGCAAAACUUUGAAUAAGGAUUGAAAAUAUCAUUCAUAAUUUUUUAAAAUUUAGAAGGAGCAUUUUUUUAAUCCAAAAGGUAUCACAUUCCAUUUGUACUGGCCAAAUAGAACUGUAAAUGCAGUUUUGUACCGAUCUUUAGGAUGAAUCUGGAUUUGCCAGAAUCCUAAUUUCAUAUCAAAUUUUGAAAAAAUAAAAGCAGAAUGAAUCUUUUGAAGAAGAUUUUUUUUGUUUGAAAUGGGAUAUCUAAUAUACUUUAGAGCUUUAUUCAAAGGUUUGUAGUUAAUCACCAAUCUAGGUGUUCCUCUUUCUAUCUCACUAUUUUUAUUGACAUAGAAGACUGCACAUUAACUAUUCAUAUUGAAUCACAAUCCAUCCAUUCCGUAGUUAACACUCUCAAACCGUAUGCAGUAUUUAUGUUUUUUAUAUAGGAAUUGGUGAGUGAAAGAACACAAAAUAUAAAGAAAAUCAGAUUUUAAAACUUUUGAAGAAAAUAGAAGUUUUUUUACUGAAAUAGAUUUAAGGGUAUUGUUACUAAAAAUAAAAUGCAAGAAGUAAUGCUUUUAGCGGUCAAAAUGUCUGCCAUUAAAACUUAAGCAUCCUAAAAUAUGUUAAUGAUAAAACUAUAAUUUUGUGAUAGACGCAUUCUGAAGUCUUACUGAAUAAAUCAAUUUUAACAUUUGUAUAUUUCCCCACAAAAUAUGUCAAAUCUAAGAAUUGCAUAGUGGCAAAUGUUUCCCUAGAAAAUGAUAAUAUUUGCUACAUAAUAUAUGCGGGAUAAUAAUAUAACUAAUCACUUAAUUUUGUAUUUAGUUUUAUUUUGAUCAUAAAAUUUUAAUUUAUUAUAUUUCAAUCAUUCAACUUUAGUUUUGGUUGUAACACUUUGCCAAUAAAAAAUUGACAUGUCACAUUUCUUCUUACUUAAUUAUAUUUUUCUGAUUAGUUAUUUUUGCCACGUGUCAAUUUUUUUUACGAAGUUACUAAAUUAAAAUAAAAUUAAAAUUAAAUGACUAAAAAUUAAAAUUUUAUGAUUAAAAUGAAACUAAAUAUAAAGUUCAGUAAUCAUUUAUAUCAUUAUCUCCAUUAUAUGUUGUGUGAUAACGUAUCAUCUUAGUUUCAUUUAUAUACAUAAUUUUUCUGCAAAUUGUUAGACCUGCAAAAAUUAAUAAUUUAUAAGAGAAUGUAAUGUUUCAAUAUUAUAUUUCUACUAUUUAGGGUCUUUUUAGUUUAGCUUCAUAAUACCGUUAGUGAUGGUUGAUCAAUGAUAAUAUAAAUUAUCAGAUAAUUUUUUUAAAAUAUUCUUAUUAAUAUUUAAAUGGCCGUUUAAGAUACAAAUUUUGUUGACAUACAUUUUCAUAUAUGUCAUAUUAAUUUUUUAAUUGUACAAAUUAUCAAAUCGAACUUAUAUUAAUUAAAAAAUUAUAAUUAAUUUUAUUCAGUUUUAUUAUUAUUAAAUAUAUAUGUAGAAGCUGUUUUAAGCGUAGGUAUUAAAGUUUAAAUUUCACCAAUGUAAAGGUUUUUUUUUUUAAAUAAUCUAAAAUAAAAUAUUUUGUUAACUAAUUAUUUUAAUGCGUAAUUACAAAUUAAAUCUCAAAUUUUAUAUUUUCUAAUAAUUUUAUCUAAUUAUUUCAAAAUUUUAAAACAAAUAUUUAUUCUCUUAAUUUAUUUUCAAAAAUACUUUGAGAUAAUAACUUUUGAAGUUUCAUAGUAAAAAAGAUGAAAUAAAAAAUCGAUUAUGCUCACUGAAAGAAUAAUAAUUAUGAAUUAGUACAAAUAGUUUAUCCCAAAUUUAAUAAUAUGACCAUUAAAAAUCUCAUGUUUAUGCAUUUUUUUAUAUAUUUUAUAUUUAAAUGCAACAAAUUUUUUAUUAACUUACUAAUUUUUAUAUUAGUGAGCAGAAUUAACUUGCCACAUUAUUUUUCUCGAUGUAAAAUCUUAAAAAUUGUUACCAAUGAAAAUAAUUGAAAGUAUUGGUAUUUAUUUCAAAAUUUUGAAACACUUAAAUAAAAUUGUUAAAAAUUUAUAAAGUUCAAGACUUAAUUAUUAAUUGAGUCUUAUUUUAAUAGAAAUAAUAUUGUUAAAAAUAAUUUAAAGAUCAAUUAUUAGUUAAUAAAAAAAUAUGAAAAAAAACUCGCAAAGUAUUUAACUGAUUGGAAUUAAAUCAGUAAGUAAUGGUUGAUUUUUAUAUUUUACUAAAUAGAUUUGGUCCAGCAUUUAGUUGAGAAAUAAAAUAACAAAUAAAACAAGACCUCCAAACUAAAAAUCGUCUAAUUCCUUUUUCCUGAAACAAUUGAAUUUGUCUAAGGGAUGCAUCCCCAUAUCCAAUUGAUAAAGAUUUAUUAUGAUAGAGGAUUGAAGAAACAAAGGAUUAUCAGUAGAAUGGUAUUCAAAANNNUCAAAAAGAUAAUGUUGGGAUUUGGACUCUCUUCCUACUGUCAAUGCUCCAAAAAACCAUGGAGAAUGACAGAGGUCCAAACAGCAGCCUUAUUUCAAACAUUCGUGCGCUUAUUAUAACGACUGCGAAGUAAACCAUGCAGCAGCAUAUGUUAAGAGAAAUAAAAUUCUUUCUUCUGACUCGUUGGCUAGCAAUGGUUUUUCAUCACACACUAUCUAUCAGAACCUCCGGAUGAGCUGCAAGAUUUGUUGGGCAGCUUAAUCAUAAUUCUCUUUCGUUCCCUGUGUUUUUCUUUUGGGUUCUUCCCCACCUUUGUAACU